GUGGGAGAGGUCAGGGGCGACCAAGCCCAAUCGAGAUCAUGUUAUGUCGAAAUGGUUAAAGUAGCAGAGAAAGGCCGACGUGAUACCCUCACCAAAGAAGAUUUGGGAGACGAGAAACGCCCUCGAAUUGACCCCGAGGAUAAGACUAAUCAUGUACAACCUAUGGACGAAUUAAUGAUGAUUGAUCUCGUCCCCGGAAUGAUGAAACAAACCCGGAUAAGCAAGGAUUUAGAACCAUCUCUCCGAGACGAGCUAAUAGCGUUACUACGAUGUAAUGAAGACGUCUUCGCAUGGCAACCAAGUGACCUAACUGGUAUCUCACCUCGUACUGUUGUGCACAGGCUCAAUUUGCGGCCCGAGUGUAAACCUGUCAAACAAAAACGACGGCACUUCGGUACCGAAAAGGACGAAAUCAUACAAAAGGAAGUACAGCGACUUCUGGAGAUCGGACACAUCCGGGAAAUUCAGUUCCCUACAUGGCUGUCCAAUGCGGUGUUAGUGCAGAAAGCCAAUGGCCAAUGGCGAAUGUGUAUCGAUUUUCGGGACUUGAAUAAGGCUUGCCCGAAAGACGAUUAUCCCUUACCUCGCAUAGAUCAGCUUGUAGAUGCCACCGCUGGAUGCGAACUACUUAGCAUGAUGGAUGCCUCGCAGGGAUACCACCAAAUUCCGCUAGACGAAAAGGACCAGCCAGCAGUAAGUUUUGUCACCGCCACGGGGACUUACUGUUACGUGGUGAUGCCUUUCGGCCUGAAAAAUGCGGGAGCCACGUAUCAGCGACUAAUGGAUAGGAUGUUUCGGGCCCAACUCGGACGCAACAUUGAAGUUUAUGUUGAUGACAUGUUAGUUAAAAGCAAGAGGCGCUCUACGCAUCUCGCAGACCUAGCUGAGACCUUUGCAACUCUUCGUUUAUAUGGAAUGAAGUUGAACCCUGCUAAGUGUGCAUUCGCAGUACAAGCGGGAAAGUUCCUGGGAUACGUUGUUAAUCGGGAAGGCAUUAAGGUAAACCAAGAUAAAGUUGAGGCCGUACUUCAGAUGACACCUCCUCGUUCCAUCAAGGAAGUCCAAUCCUUGGCAGGAAAAGUUGUAGCCCUAGCUCGGUUUAUAUCACGAAUGGCUGAUAAGAGCCUGCCUUUCUUCAAAGUACUAAGGAAAACAGCUCAGUUCGAAUGGACCACCGAAUGCCAGCUCGCAUUCGAAGCAUUAAAACGAUCUCUCACUUGCUUGCCGAUUCUUAGCACCCCCGAAAAGGGCGAAACCCUGUUUGUAUACUUGUCAGUGGGCGAUGAGUCCAUCAGUUCGGUGUUGUUUAAGGAAGUUAAUAAUCAACAAAGGCCGAUCUACUAUACUAGUAAGAUCCUCACUACGUCGGAAAGCCGAUAUUCCGAAGUCGAGAAAAUAGCGUACGCACUGGUCCUCACUACGCGACGACUCCGGCCUUAUUUCCUGUCGCAUACCAUGGGAUGNNNNNNNNNNNNNNNNNNNNNNNNNNNNNNNNNNNNNNNNNNNNNNNNNNNNNNNNNNNNNNNNNNNNNNNNNNNNNNNNNNNNNNNNNNNNNNNNNNNNNNNNNNNNNNNNNNNNNNNNNNNNNNNNNNNNNNNNNNNNNNNNNNNNNNNNNNNNNNNNNNNNNNNNNNNNNNNNNNNNNNNNNNNNNNNNNNNNNNNNNNNNNNNNNNNNNNNNNNNNNNNNNNNNNNNNNNNNNNNNNNNNNNNNNNNNNNNNNNNNNNNNNNNNNNNNNNNNNNNNNNNNNUUUUGAAACGUCAUCUGAAACGCGUCUUCGCGUCAAAAUAGAAACAUAGACAUAAAUCGAAAAUAGAAAUAAGGAAAAAAAAAAAAGAGAGAGAUAAAGGAAAUCGAGGCAAUUACGCCAGCAAAAUCGAGACACACCUUGUACAGACAAAACAACCAUUAAUAGACAUCCAUUUUCCGAUCUGGGCUAGGCCCCGUGCUUUUUUCUCUCCUUAUUUGGAGGGUUUCCACGUUAAAAAAGUACUUGUGUUAUUUACUUAAGUUAUAACUGUGGCGUUAACUCGCGUGUAUCAUUGUGGCGUUAACUCGCGUGUUUCAUUGUGGCGUUAACUCGCGUGUAUCAUUGUGGCGUUAACUCGCGUGUAUCAUUGUGGCGUUAACUCGCGUGUUUCAUUGUGGCGUUAACUCGCGUGUUUCAUUGUGGCGUUAACUCGCGUGUUUUAUUGUGGCGUUAACUCGCGUGUUUCAUUGUGGCGUUAACUCGCGUGUAUCAUUGUGGCGUUAACUCGCGUGUUUUACUGUGGCGUUAACUCGCGUGUUUCAUUGUGGCGUUAACUCGCGUGUUUCAUUGUGGCGUUAACUCGCGUGUUUCACUGUGGCGUUAACUCGCGUGUUUCAUUGUGGCGUUAACUCGCGUGUUUCACUGUGGCGUUAACUCGCGUGUUUUAUUGUGGCGUUAACUCGCGUGUUUCACUGUGGCGUUAACUCGCGUGUUUCAUUGUGGCGUUAACUCGCGUGUUUCACUGUGGCGUUAACUCGCGUGUUUCAUUGUGGCGUUAACUCGCGUGUUUUAUUAUGGCGUUAACUCGCGUGUUUCAUUGUGGCGUUAACUCGCGUGUUUCACUGUGGCGUUAAAACGCGUGUUUCACUAUGACGUUAAAUCGCGUGUUUUACUAAAGUAAGUAAAAAGCAUGUUUUAGUGUGACAAUGGUUUGUGUUUUCUGUUGCAGCGCUAAGUCGCGUAUUCAUAAGCGAGAUGAUGAGGUCAAGCAUCAAGUUGAAAUAUAAAAACAGUUUUCUGAGAUCAAGUUAACUGAUAAGCUUAGAGGAUAAGCACAAAUGAGAAUGAUCUGAGAUAUGGAACCAUGAAUUGAACUUGAAGUCAAGACAAGACGAAUAUCAAAGCUCGAAGCACGAAUUUGAAAAACGAAUAAAGACGCUUCUGAACAUAUGGAAAAACGGAGGAAUUGCUAAGGAUACAUGGCAAAAAGGGAGUAAAAAAUAUAAUGUUUAAAAAAGAUACAUAUUCAGAAUACAAAACAGAAAAAGGUUAAGUUUUCUUCAUAGUCUUCACUUCGGGAUGGCCGUGUCUGCUUCACUCCGAUUCUCAGCAUCCGGAGGGGGCGGCGAAACGAGGCCUGGCUGUGCCUCUUCGGAACUAACCGCCGUUCCAAGGGCCCCAAUAUCUCCGGCAAAGUCGGUGAUAGCCCCUUGACGGGAGAAUUCUUCAACAAGGCCUUGAUAAACCGGCCUCCACCACUCUAAGUUGGGAUCCUCAUUUACAUCCCCCUCAAAACCCGGAAUCACGUCGUCGGGGAGGUCCUCCGCCAGUUCGUUUUCCACCAACGGGAACUCGAUGCCGGCACCGCCUAACCUCUUCCGAACAGCCGCAACCGCUGACGAAAAGAAGAAACGAGCUAAACCUGAAGCUUCUCGAGUAAAAGUGGUGGAACGCCAUAAUCGGUGAAAGAAGCGGCGAACAAACUCCUCGAUGAAGCGAAGACCCUCGGGCGACCCCGGGAACAACCUUUGCCCCUCUUUCACCCCUUCGGUGAAAUUGGUGGAAGCUUGUACUCCAGCUGCGAACAGCUCGUUGGAAAGCCCCUUAGCUUUCUCCUCCAAACUGGCAUUGUGGGAUGCAAGGGAGUCUUUUUCAGCUUCAAGGAUUUUUUCUCUCUCUUUCAGCCUCUUCACUUCGGCAAACAGCCCCUCCUUCGAAGACUCCGACAUCCCCAGGCUCUCCUUUAAACCCCGGACUUCCUUCCGGAGCUGCAUCACCUCUUUCCUCUGAUUAUCAUACGCCUCGCGUGACACAUCGUCCCACCCCAAAGGACCCGAAAAGGCGAUGGCGAAUUGCUGCACCCACAAAGAGGUUAAAUAGAGUUAAUCUUAAAUACAAGAUGCAAUGGCAAAGAUUGAUUCACAAAGACAGAGUGAAACAAACCUGUGUAAUGUUAUGGAGAAGCAACUCAAGUCGGUCGCCCUUACUCAUUUGCCCGAAAUGGGCGACAUCGGUGGGGAAUGCCAAGGACCGGCACGCAGCAAUGGCGUUUUCAGCAUUCCGGCAGAGGUAUAGUCCAAAGUCGGCCGGUAAAGCUGACCCAGCCGCCCCAAGGGCCAGCUCAGAUCUCCGUUUCUUCGGAGCAGGUUCUCUCUCUACCACCUCUUCGGUCGAGGAAGGAGGCGGUGACUGGGCGAGAACUAUCGCAGAGGAUUGUUUAAGAGGCUCAGAAUCCUCAGUUCGCGAAGCAGGUCCACCGCGGGCGCGAGGAGGAGCGGCGUUUUUCUUCGAUGGCCUGGGCCUUAGAGCCCCUUCCUCCGAGGAUCUUUUCUCGGAUUCGGCGAUUAGAGGACGCUGAAACUCAGACGCCUCGAACCCAGGUUCCGGAUCGGACGGACGGGUAGCCGGCUUGUCACCUCGGAACAUCCUCUUCAUCCUUAGAUCUACGAACCAAAACAAACGGGCAAGGGGAGAUACGUGGGUGAGAUACGAGACAUUCAAGUACAUAAUUAGCGAAGCAACAAAAGACAAACCGACCCAAGUGAGACAGUGAGUCGAAGUAAGAAUUAGUGUUAUAACCGAACCCACCUAAAUCUUCUCGAGUUAGAGAAUAUGUGCCGUUGUCGUGAAAACGGAAGUGGCGGAGCAUCGGCGGAAAGCUGGUGAGGCUAUCCGGGACGCCGUGACUCGGUUGAAAAUGGGAUAUCAUUUUUAAUAAACAUUCGUCAACCGCCAAAGGUUUACCUCUUUUCUUUUCAGGUAGGGUGGCGAGCCAAGGACAUAAAUAGGGCGUGUCAACAGGAUUUCUGGCAAAGAAAUAAUGACCUUGCCACCCAUCGGUUUUAUUAGGUGGCAUCAGAAUUUUAAAACCCGGACGAGCCGAGAUAGAAACAUGGAAAGGACUGGAAUUUUUCAAUACCAUGACACUUCGGAAUCGAGCUGGUGUAGGAAUCACCCCCGACCAAGCACAUAGCAUACGGAAUCCCGUCAUAAUUAUUAUAGCGUGAGGGUGGAAUUGAUUAAGGGACACAUUACAUAGCUGGGCAAUUUCAGAAAACCAAGGCGAGAUAGGGAAGGAUAGACCGAAAUAAAACUGCUCUGAAAACCAAGUACUGAAACCUAAGGGGGGAGUUAAAGGACGGUCAUCUCGCGAAGGAAGAAUCAACUCGACAUCGGUGGAGAGGCCUAUGUCGCGGACUAAGUUAGCCAGAUCUAUGUCGGUCAGGGUACUGGGCCCCCAUUGGUCAUCUAAAUCCCUCCCCCCAGAUACGGAGGGCGAACCACUCCUCGCAGAAGAAGAAACCUCUUUCCUGCCCUUCUUCUUGGGUCGUUCCAAGAGUUUACCCGAAGGGGAGAAGUAAGGCCCCUCCUCCGACGAAGAAGAGAUAGAAAAAGCAGGGUUUUCACCCCCCUCCCCGGAAGGCGCUUUUUGGCCAAAAGGGUCAGGGGAAUGGGCUGACAUUAUCGAAUUGAAGAAUAAGAUGGAGGUAAUAAAAGAUGGGGAAGAGAAGUAAUACCUUGGCUAGAGAGAAAGAGUGGGCUUGAGGGAGGAAAGCUCUGUCUCAGAAAAUGGAAUCACCAGAAAUCAAGCAGGAGGAAAGACGUGUAGGCAAAAAGAAAAAACUUUUACAAGUUGGGUUAAUGAGGUAUUUAUAGGGAAAGAGAUAAGAGGAAAUUAGAUCUCAACCACUCAUUCGGACGAACGAGAUCAAAAGCAGGCCGCCUCGAAUUCGGCGCGGAAAGCACCAAUUGAAAUUCCCUCAUUAUGACCUAGGGAACUCGAAUCGACUGCAUUGAUUGAUAGGACAGCAGAAGGCGGUAGAGCACGCUUCCCCAUCAAAGAUUAAACGCUAAAAACGAACUGUUACCUCGCACUCCAUACUCCAUAUUCAUCGAACGGGACAAAACAGAAGUUUUAUCUCGCCCGAUAAUUAAGGAGUAGGGGGGAGUAGUUGAUACGGGCCAUUCUGGAAAGAUCCAAUACGAAUUAGGCCCACGACAAAAGGCCCAUGGCAAUUCAGCCCAAUGAUAUAAAAAGACCAUUAGGUCGUACGACCUCAACGACGAACUGCGGAACUUCGGCUCGCAGGCCCAGUAUUGGCUCGUGGUAAAUCGAGCCCAGGGUUAUAAAAGGCCCAAUACACACAAUGGCUUGAGGGGGGAAAAAACCCUAAAAAGGAAACCUUGGAGGCCAAGGUUUCCUCAUUUAUAAAUAGGGAAUGAUAUUGCGUUUUUCCACACAGAUAAUAUACAUUUUUCACACACUUUUACGUACUUUCUAAAAACUCGCUUUGAAAUCAUACUGACUUGAUCGUCGGAGCUUUCCCGCCGGGAACACCUCCCGGCGUUGCAGGUCUUUUUUCUACCGGAAUCCGACAGAGAGCUUAGAGGACGCGAGGAAGAGCCCCACGGACUAAAUCAGUAAUAACUCUUCUUUGUUUUCUUAUUACCAAUGUAGAAACAAGGAAUAAAUCCAGCAGACACCAAUGUGGGACAUAUUUACCAAUUUGCCACAGAAAAAGAAAAAGAAAAAUAAAAAUCCAAAUUAAAGAAUGAAAAAUAGAGAGAAGAAGUUUGUAUAGAAUGAAAAAAAGGAAUAAUCCAAAUUAUUGAUAUUUGAGUUACCUACAUUGCAUAUGAUGGAAUUGAAUUACUGAAUUUAAGUUACCUACAUUUGAGGCCCGUUACGACCUUACUUGAACAUGAUCGGCUCUAUAGGCUCGUACCACUUUAUCAUUGAGUACUUGUGAAUGAACAAUGGUUGCUCGACACGAUUGUGAUUAACAAACUCAGUGGAUCAAGCCAUUGAUUCAAUAGAGGAUUGUUUUCGGCUAGCUUCGGCUGAUUGGGGCGGUCGUGCAGCUGUCUCACAGUCUAAUCAAUAUUUUUUAAAAGAAAAUGAGAGAGGCAUAUUUGAGGCCCAAAGUUUGUUGAGUUGGGCCUUAUAUUGGUCUCUACCUUUGAUUUUCAAUGUCUUAUUUGGAACAUUAUAGUAAUUGGGCCUUGUAUUGAUUUACUUACAAUCACAUGCCUCGUUUGAUUAGGUAAAUUAUAAUUAUUUUUUUUCUUGAACAAGGAUUAUGUAGAUUAUUAAUCAUUAAUUAAAUAAUCGGUCAUUAAUUAAAUAAUCGGACUUUUUUUGAUGUUUUGUAAAUCAACUAGUGUUUCAGCUACUUAUCAUAUUUUUGAUAGAGUUUCUUUUGUUAAAUAUUCCGAGAUCCAAUAAAAUAAUUGAAUUUAUUUUAAUUAUUCAAUAUAAUAUUUACAUAUUUAUCAUCAUUACUCAUAAUUUAUAGGCGCACUAGACAAUUCCUUAUAGGCAAGGGCAAAUCUAUUAACCCGAGAACAAACACCAGCGGUCAACAAUUGCCAUAGUGCCAUAUGUCUAAAAAUAGCAUUAAUCCAAUGGUCUCAAUCGCAUCGGCGGUGGCCGCCCCAGACCCUUGACACCCUUCCUACACUCUGAAUUAUUGCGUCAGCCGACCGCCUUCUCUUGUCGGUAAAUUACCGUGAAAAUAUAUUAAUGUUUGUUUUUUCAAGGGAUUUAACAUAAGAAAUAUAACAAACCGAGACUAAAAAUUUCACAUAAAAUAAUAGCAGCUCUGAUGCGUCUGCUUCUAUUUAAAGGAGAGCUUCAUGAAAAGCUGUCUUCGAAGUUCUAAUACCUAAUGAGGAAGAAACCCAUCUAUAUAUAUAUAUAGAUAUAUAUAGACAUGUAUGGGUCUGAAGAGCAGCCAUAUUUCUCUUCCCAUAAAAAAUCCCAACUCAGAAAAAAUCCAUCAAUGGGCAUUCUACAAUCCCCACCACUUCUUUCCUAUACACUCCAGCAACCACCGCUCCUCCCUCAUCCCACCACCCAUCCCCACCACAGCUCCUCCAGCCGAGGCGGCAUUUCUUCUCCUCCAGCGACUAGAAACAGUUGUAGAACCAAAGACCAUCCACCGCUAACCAACAAGAAAUCAACCAAAAUCCCCAGAAAAGAAGACAAAAAAUCACCUAUUGUCCCAAAGGGUAUAUAUACACCAUAUGGGAAUAACAAACCAGUAACUAGCAACAGUUCCGCCCGUCAGAAAGCAGUUGACGAAGAUCGGGUGGACAAUAUGAUUCCAGGUUUUGCGGGACUUGCAAUAUCUUCGCCACCACCAAGUAGCUUGCCUUUGCCAACAUUUUCAUUGAGGCGAAAGUCGAUUAGGCCUUAGAUGCAAUGCCUCCGCUUCCCGGGAGUAGAUUCCGGCAACUUCUUAACAAGGGGCGGUUAGCAUGAGUUCUAAAUAAAGAGCACAAAGGAGUUUGUCUCCGUCAAAUAUGUUAUUUCCAGAUCAAAUGUGGUACAAAAUUGUACUGUAUGUGACAAGGGCUUUGCAGUAAUGUCAUAAUAAAGCUAGAAGUUUAUGAUGUUUUGUUUUUCCUGUUUCUGCUCCAACUAGAUGGGAAGUACUAAUAACGCGUUAAACCAGCAAAAUUAGCCAAAAUUUAUGUAUAACUAAUUCCAAGAUUCAACAGAAAAACAAGCCGACAAUGAUUUAGUUACUUGAAAUUGAGACAUCAGACAUAAUUACUAGGCAACUCCGAUUCACAAACCUAUAAUGAAAACGACCAAGUAAAUCAUGGAGGGCAUUUCUUGAGCAGUUUUUGAGACGGAGUGUGUUUUCUUUUCUUAUACAACAACUCUCGAGUGUCAAUGUGAGGCAAAACCGAGACUUGUUAUUCUCAAUUUUGCAAAGAGUAAUCUACGAGUUCUCAGUUUGUCUGUACGCACAUAUAGGGCAUGUAUAAAAGAUUGUCUGCCCUUCAUCAGCAGAUCUAAUCUGAAGAACACACAAAAAAAGAAGCUGGUUAGUUCAGAAAAUAUGAAACUCGAAAUCGGAAGUGCAAGAAACGGCAAGUUCGUCGAUUUACCUGUCUGGCAACAUAAGCCAUGCCCACAUGUUGACAUACUUUGCACUUUGCAUUAUGAUCCUGUCAGGUCAAAGAAAAUGUUACAAAUAAACAACUAUUAAAUAUAUAUGUAUAUAUAACAAAAAACGAGGAAUUGAGUAUCUAUAUAGUUCUUACCAUUUGUUUUAGUUCCCUUUCUUCUUCUAUGUCAUCGAGAGCAGACACGCCCAGCUCCCUCCUCAGAUCCUACAAUGCACAUAUCGUCAAUCGAUUGAUCGUAUAAAAUAAAAAAUCAGCAUCAGAGAAGAUCGAUUAUUAGUAUCCAAAGAUAUCCCGAAUUUUUAUACAUUGGUGAGGAUAGAGUUUGGAGAGGUUAAUAAGAGAAUGAGAAUAAGAAGGUUGAUUUUCCGGGAGUAUUAAUCUGGUCAAACUGCUUUUAAACAUAUCUAUCUUCAAUAAUCAUUGUACCUUGUCACGUGUUCGUAAUCAAAACAACGAAAAUGUUUCGUGAACUUUUGAAUUUGCAUAUUAAUAACAUACCUCAGAACUGAUAGUAUAUCGAAUGUCUUUAACAGCCAUAUCUGCGGGAAAAAAAUAGCUACAGCAUAAUUUCCUCAAUUUAUGAAAUAAAAACAUAAAAACAAACUCUUUCUACUAUAGACUAUAGCAUUCUGAACAAUUAAACACAGGCAGAUGCGAUGAAAUUCAAAUAAAUAUCUAAAAUUCCGAUAAUCCGUUACUGAAAAAUCAGCGGCAAGCUCAGAAAUUGAAGUACAGUAAUACCAAAUAACCAGUGUGAAAGGCUGUAACUGGAAAUUAAGGAAGAAAUAAAACCUUUUAAGCGCUUCUGGAAUUUGCAGAGCGGGCAACGGGCAAACAUUGGAUCACUGAAUGACAUUAGCGUCCCGCACAUGUCGCAGAACAUGAAGUCACGCUGACGACUGUACUCUGUCAUAUUUACCAACUCAGCCACUAGUUUUCUUAACAACAAUUGGGGAAAUUUGCCAGUUUAAUGUUGAAGGAAGAAGGGAUUUUAGGGCUAGGGUUUAUCGAAGGGGGAAGAAACGGGGGAUGCUGGUUUAAGAAUUUAAAUAUGUAACUGGGCCAAUUAACAGCCCAGUAAUCAAUUUUAAAUAUAAAAAUGGCCCAUUAUUUCAUGGUACUUUGAUCUGCAAUAAUUGGGCCUUAUUUCAGACAAUUUAUCCAUGAGUAAUCAUGGAUAAAAUUUUCAAACUUUUUUUUUUUUUUUUUUUUUUUUGUGUGUGUGUGGGGAAUGCGUAGUGUUUGUUGACCAAUUCAAGAACUUCAUUCUUUCUAAAUAUUGUAAGUGUAAAUUACGGUCACCCUGAUAUAAUGUCAAAUUACUAAAACCCCCUUCUUAUUUUGGUAAUUAUAAAUUACGGUCAUCCUGAUAUAAUGUCAAAUUACUAAAACCCUCUUCUUAUUUUGGUAAUUAUAAUCAUUCGUCAAUUACGAAUCUGCAAUGGGGUAAAGCGUGUACAAACUAGAGAAUAUUCCACAUAAUUUAAAAGAUUCUACUAAGUUGACACCACAUAUUCUAGAGAAGAUUUUAUCGUAAUUUGACUUUACCUCAAAGGAUAGCCGUAAUUUACCCAAUAUUCUAAAUAUGCAGCAGUAGAACAAUAUGUAUGAAACUAUAUCACAACUGUAUUUAUGAACAAUUGAACUCAUUGGCUGACAAUUCAUGUUACUACAUACACAACAAUCUAAUGAACUUUGAUCUCAACAUACAAAACCUAUGAGAGGCAAUUCCGAUUUUUUUUUUUUAUCAGAAACAACAUAUUACUACUGUGCUAUAUAUUUGACCAUCAGCACAAACUCAAUAAGGAACUGUGAAAGGCAAUGCAUAGAUACCAAUUUCAUGCAAGUACUCCGCACGAGGCCACAAUUCCGAUCUUUUCGAGAAACUCGUACAAUCACCGCGUUCGAAUCUCUGCCUUUUCCUGGUCCGCACGUCUUCAUUUUUCCCCUGCAUUAGCCAGUCAAGAUCCUCUGUAUCCAUACGCGCGUACUGAGUCAAUGACGGAAGACAACCCUCAAGUAAAUUCUUAUAUCGCAACUCCAAUGUUUGCGCCGAGUUCUCUACUCCAACUGCAGAUAUUGAGCAGAGGUAUUGUUCUUUAGCUACAGAAUGAAGCUCGUUUUUCUCGUUUGAGGGCAGUCUUAUCAAGAUAACUUUACCUGUUCCACAACCAAUGUUAGCAAUGAUAAGCAAACGUGACGAAAAAAAGAUCGCGGUAGUGAUCGUGGAAGCGAAUUAAAGAUACCUUGUGAAUGAGUAUAAUGCUUCUUCGUCUUGUGGCUGUUAUUUGUGCUGUCUGAAGACGAGGUGGGAUGUGAAUGUUCUUCCGUGAGGCCGCUUCGCUCUAACGGCUGAAUUUCGGCUUCUCUUCUCUUAUCCUUCCGUUUCUCUUUCUUCUCUCUUCUCUUCUCCUUCUUCCAUUGUUUUUCCUUUUAGAAACCAACAUAAAAUAAUUUUAGAAUCGAGGCGAUCAAGAGCAAGCACAACUAAUUUCUUCAAAUAGUCAUAUAACAUAGAUAAAGAUUUAUUUAAAAUACUUCAACUGCUAGCGUUCCAAUUUUCGACCAAAAUUCAUAACCAUAGUACACCGUGAACAUCCCAAUUCCGAAAAUUGCACUCCUAUCUAGUUGUCGACCUUAUUUCGGUUCAACACCUCAAACUCAGUGUGCAUGAUUGCAGACGAGUAGAUUUCGAUAACGACUCUUUUUAAUUAGACAACAACGGAUCACAAAAACUUCGUAAGUUCUAACUAAAUCCAGGUUAAUCUUACACCCUUUUCAAUAAUUCCAUAUCCCCAAAAUCUAUUUGAUUAUCUCACAUGAUUUACUUGGCGUGAUCUGUGUUUAGUCAAUGUCUAAUUAGUAAAAAUCUGUCAUACCAUUAAUAUUAAAGAAAUUCCUUUUGGAGCUCCAAGAAUUAGGGUUUUUUUUUUUAAAUUAGAAGUCCAUGAACACGUACAAAACCCAGAAAUUCACAAGCGUAUGCUACAAUUCGCAUAUACCAAAAUUUCAAAUCAAGGCGCUCUGUUGAACAAACCUUAUCGGAAUCGAUAAAAGCCCCAAUCUUUGCUCCGGUCAGUUCAUACCCCGGCGGAGGGAACGGAAAGCAACGAGACAUGUCUUCAAAUCACAAAGUCUUCAAAUCACAAAGUCUUGUUCAAAAGGAAUAACAGGAAACCUAGUAAAGUUUGAUGAAUAAGGAAUCUCGAUACAAUGAUUAAUCACAGCUGCUGAAUUUCGCUAACAGAGAGUAGACUCCUGAGUUCCCAGGGUAUGGGUUGGACUAUAUAGUCGUGGUCCUCGUGGAAUCAACGCGAUCGUCGUUUUUUGCAGUUUAGCCCUUUGUUUUGUUUUUAUUUAUUAUUAUGUCCUCCGUUUAUAAACUUAUUACGUGUCGGAGCAUUGUGAAUUUUGGGGAUCUAGUUAAGCAAGUGGCAAGUUUCACGUUUCAAUUUAUAAUUAAUUUUUUUGACAAACAAAUUAAUUCAUGUUGGAUUUUGAUUGGUCAUAGGGUAGAUAAAAAAAAUCAAUUCCGUACAAUAUCAAAUUAUACUCCAGUGAAACCUCUAUAAAUUAAUAAAGACGGAACUAACAAAAUUCUAUUGAUUGUAGCAAAAUAUUAAAUUAUCGAACUAAUAAUUUGGUAUGUUAUUAUCGAAUCGGGACCGAAAAAAGUUAUUAUUUUAGCGAAGUUAUUAAUUUAUCGAGGUUCUAUGGUAAAUAUAUUUUCAGUUCCCUGUAAUAAUAAAAAGCAUGGACUUUUAUUUGGUCUAACUUAAUUUCAACAAUGUAAGUUGUGUGUAUUUUUAUUUCUAAGCCCAAUGAGAUAGUGUGUAGACGAAUGGGACUGUAUGGGCCUAGAAGCCCACAUGUUAGUCGGCUCUGUACAGAAUCGGCUCGAGCCGAGUCAUCAGAGUCGGCGAAAAAAACAUUUGAGCUCACGUGUACAGCUUCUAAAACCCUCGCAUAAACCACACAAAAUCAAUAACUGCGAUUUUCCCCUUUUCAACUUUCCAGAUUCUCAUUCACGAAAAUCACCAGAUCGUUCUACAGAUGAGAAGGGUUAGCGCAAGCGGACUCGCCGCGAUUAGCCGCGCCGUUGGUGGCGUCGCCGUCGCGCCUUCAGCUGCCGGAAAUCACGCGCAGCACCACCACCGGCUCUUCCAGGCUGCUCUCUUCAGCACGAACAGCAACAGCAGCUGCGAAUCCAGAUCUCAUUGGUUUUCGAACAACAGGAUCGCCGCUGAUCAGGUUGCUCGCGCUGUCGCUGGGACGAUGUUUUUCUCGGUGGCCGCCACAACGCUCGUCGAAGAGGUCAACGCAAAGGAGCCGGUCCAGUCAAAAUUUCGGCCGAAGGACGUCGUUCUUUAUCAAUAUGAAGCUUGCCCUUUCUGUAACAAAGUCAAAGGUAUUGAUAUAUAGUUCAAUUUUUGGCUGGAAUAUGUAUGGGACUUGAUUUAUCUAAAUUCAAGUUUAAAUCAAAUAUUGGGGAAAUUUCUGUGCAAAGUUAAAGUUAAAUGUGUUGUACUCUGUGUGCAUCAGAAAUUGCUAAAAUGGAAGCAGGAUCGAAACAGUUAAUUCUUAUGAUUGAUUUGCUUUGAGAGUUAAGAAGUAUGGUAAACUAAUAAUCUUUGAUUUAACAGGAUUGUGUUCGGAGCUUAGCUAUUCAACAUUUAUCUUUCGUAUACAGAUCAUGUUAAAACUUAUAAGUUUGAGAUUAUCUUGCUUUAUUCUGUUGUAUAAAUAUGUAUGAGCAUCUAAUACAAAAACAAGGUUCGACGCUUUUCUUUUCUGGAGCAGCUGUUAGUGCACAUGUACCCUAGACAUUUUCAAAGAUAAUAUGUAUUUAAUCCAUAUGUGCAAGUAAAAGGGGUGAUCAGUGACAUGUACCAAUUGACAUAGAAUUUGAUGUUUGGAUAGAAUAGCAUAAAACGUUGUGUAUAGACGUAUAGUACGUAAUACAUUGAAGUACCUUUGCAUUCCUUUUCAGAAAAAAACAGCAUUUUAAUUUGACUGUACAUCACACUCUUAUGUGCUUUAACACAUUCUCGAAACCAUUCUCCUCUCUAUAUACAUUUUUAUCUCACUUUUUGAAGACAUGGUUUUUCAAGAAUGAUAUGCCAAGAAAUCAUUCUCUUAAUAUUAUGUUGUCUUGUUAGUAACCAUACCCUGUAGUAUUCAAACAUUUGAUCAUGGUAACGUUCCUGAAAAUGAACUCUUUGUAAUUAUGAAUCUUACUUUUCCAGCGUUUCUGGACUACUAUGAUAUACCAUACAAAAUUGUGGAGGUCAACCCUAUGAACAAAAAGGAAAUCAAAUUUUCUGAAUACCAGAAAGUUCCGAUUUUGAUGGUUGAUGGCGAACAGAUGGUUGACUCAUCAGGUACUGAAUAUGUAGAACGGACAAUAAUCUAAUUUUUCAGAAUGCCCUGACAUUUAGGUCUUUUAGAAUCAUUUUGAAACUAUAUUUAUUUCUUCUAUGCAGCUAAGUCAACUAAACUAUUUGUUUUAAAUCUAUGUCCUUCUCUAUGUAGAUAUAAUAGACAAGUUGGACAAAAAGAUUCACCCCGAGGUGUCCAAAGAUUCUGUUGGGCAAGAUGGUGAAGAGAAGAAGUGGCGCGGGUAUGUUGAAUCUUUUCCAAUUAGUAUUGCCUUUCAUUACCAUUUUCAAUAUUUGAAGGAUAAUGUUGUCAGGCACCUCUAUAUAUUUUGCAUCGUAAUUUACGUUACUGUGAACGAGCAUUUAGUUUUUACGUGCAUUGUGAAUGUUAAUAAACUGCCGUCAUUGCAGUUGGGUGGACAAUCAUUUGGUGCAUAUUUUGUCACCUAAUAUUUAUCGAAGUCCCUCCGAAGCUCUCGAGUCAUUUGACUACAUCACUAGUCAUGGUGAGAUUUUUUUUUUGUAUCAGUAACAUAGCUGGAAUUAACAAUUAAAUUUCCAGUACUGCGGAUUUUUCUAAAUACAGAUUAUAUUCUAUCAAUUAAAAGAAAGAAAAAAUCCGUUUCUUUCGCUUGCUCUCUCAUCUGCCUUAAGAUUAGUUUCUGGCUUCGGAUGAAAUGCAGGUAACUUCAGCUUCACCGAGAGAAUAACAGCAAAAUAUGCUGGAGCUGCUGCAAUGUAUUUUGUUUCAAAGAGACUGAAGAAAAAAUAUAACAUCACCGAUGCACGUGCUUCUUUGUACGAAGCUGCAGAGACAUGGGUAGAUGCUCUCAAGGGCCAAGAUUUUCUAGGUUUAGCUCCACCUUUUCUUUUCUAUAUCUAUUAUAUCAUAUACAUUAUUAACAUCAAAAAUACGAACGGCUAAUUUCUCUUACGCUACGUUUUUUGCAUCAGGCGGGGGCAAGCCUAACUUAGCUGACCUGGCGGUGUAUGGUGUUUUAAGACCUAUACGCUACCUCAGGUCCGGUAAAGACAUGGUGGAGCACACACGUAUAGGUGAUUGGUACUCUCGAAUGGAAAAUGCUGUGGGAGUUUCUUCUAAAAUCUAGGCAUAGCCCGUUUUUUGGUCUCGUUUUUUAGUGGAAUCUUUUGACGGUAAGGAAUCUUUUACUUCUUUUAUCCUGUGAUAAUAAUCCCCUCCCCCCUUGGUAGAUAAAUUGAUUACAGUGCACUUUGUCUUAUAAUUUGGGGGAAUUGUGUUCGUAUUCUUCAUGAAUAAAUUGUAAUCAUGCAUCCUUCUUUUUUUUUUUUUUUUUUAAAGAAAUAACUAUUUUUCAAUGCUGUAGAAAAUCCGAAAUUAUUUUUGCUGUGGCACUUUAAUUAUUGGCCUGGUUAGAAAGUAGUUGAAGUGUAGCAUUUGUUAGUGGACUUGUUCUCGUGACCCAUCUCUCAACUUAAUUAAAACUUUGAUACCUAUUUAUUUAAUUUUGUUGGCCCAGUUAAUGAAAAUAACGUUUCUUUCUCUCAAUCAACUUAAUGAAAACCUGUUAACUAUUUUUUUGUCGCAAUGGCCCAUAAUUAAUGUUAGACUAUGGUUCACCAAACAGCUAAGUUCUGUACACGUGGUCCUUUGAUUGACACUUUUUCCAUUUAAUAUACAUUACAUUGAUAAUAAUAUUGUGCUAGAAAUACAAUAUAAUUAAUUACAAUUUAUAACUUUACAGAGUACUUGUAACUCUAUACAAGCUAGGGCAAGGUAUUAAGUAUUAACUUUUUUUUUAGUGCAUGUUAACUUAUUAAAUUGAAGUUAAACCUACGAUUAGAAUUCGUAAUUAUGCACUACUAUUUCUUAGCUUAAUUAACAUUAUUUGGCAUAAACAUUUAAUUUUAAAACAAAUAAUGAAACAAAGCAUUAUGGCAUGUGACAUCUCAACAAUACCACUUUUGAGUAACAUCCAACAUUCAACUCAUUAAUUAUAACUUUUAAUCUUUUGAUGUAGCUGAGGCCAAUUGAUACACUCAUACGUAGUAGUAAUAAUAAUAAUAAUAAUAAUAAUAAUAAUAAUAAUAAUAAUAAUAAUAAUAAUGAUGAUGAUGAUGAUGAUGAUGAUGAUGAUGAUGAUGAUGAUGAUAAUAAUAAUAAUAAUAAUAAUAAUAAUAAUAAUAAUAAUAAUAAUAAUAAUAAUAAUAAUAAUAAAAAAAAAGGGAUACACUCACUCGUGCAUGUCAAUCACUAAUUCAAUAAUUAAUUUUGAAAAUUGACUCAAUUUUAAUUAUUAAAUAACAUAUAUGUGCAAGAUAGACUUGAUACAAUUGUUUAUGAACACGUUGAUUGAAUAUAUCCUCUUCCUUCCAAAGUUGUAAUGAUUAAAAACUGAAUGAAUAAUAAAUAUAUUUAAUCAAUACACUGAUCCUAUGAGUGUGGUAGUUUACCAAACUGUUUUUUUUCUUUUAGUAAAUCAAUAAUCUGCGUCUACAUAUACAAAAUUGCUUUACUUAAUUUAAUUAAUUAUCUUAAAUAAAAAAAACAUCAAUUAACUAGUUGACAUUUCUGCAAAAUUGAAAUCAUUCUUCUGAACCAACCUUACCAACAAGAUCUAGAAAGAGGGAUUAAGUUGAGAAUGUAUAUUCAAUUAAUUUGUCUCACUUUAGCCUCUUAAUUACUACUUCUCUUCAUAAAUUUAGAUUAAAUUAAAAAAAAAAAUACUUCUUAAAACUACUAAUAAUAUUCAAUUUCUCGAAGAAAAAAAAAUAGUGAAACACAAUGAUCAAUUCUAUCAUUUGAUUUGGAGAUCAUAUCACGAAGACGACCCAAUAAUAUCCGACGUGUGUCGAGAAAUUAAUAUAUAUGAAAUGAGUUAAUUAUAUACCAAUUUAAGAAAAAACAACUUUAUUUAUAUUUCUCGAGGAAUCCAUGACUUCCAAAUAACCUUUUUUUUUUUGGGUAUGCAUGGCUAGUCUGAUGGCAAUUGUCACUAAUCUGUAUUAAAUAACGCACCUACCUUCCUUAACCAGUGAUUAGCAUGCCAACACACACUUAUACAUACAUAAUCUACAUAUAUACAAACCACAUAACCAAAUUAAAUACUCACUACAAAUUCAAUUAUAUAUAUAGACAUAAAUCUCAGUCUGAAAAAAUCAAGAACCCUUAAACUCCCUCCUCUCUUGGCUUUUUCGUAAUAAGUAUGAAGAAGAUCUUUUGUUGUGCGAAAAAUUCGAUGGUGUUUUGGCAUUUGUGUGUUUUUGUUUUGUUGUGCAUAGGUUGUUGUAAUGGACUAGUGAAUCUGCCUCCAAACACGACGGUUCCGGCAAUUUUCGCGUUCGGGGAUUCGAUAGUCGAUCAGGGUAAUAACAAUGGAAUCAGCACCCUCGUUAGGUGUAACUUUCCACCUUACGGCAAAGAUUUCCGAGAUGGAAUCCCCACCGGGAGGUUCGGCAAUGGCAAGACGCCUCCGGAUUUGAUUGGUAUGAUAAAUACAUAUAUCUAUAUAUACACACACACACACACUACACUAGUAUAUAUAUGUGUAUUUGUGUGUAAUUAAUUGUUUAGUUCAACGUUAAUUAUGUUCUUAAAAUCUUUCUUGUUCAGAAAUUUCGAACAUGUGUAUAUCAGAAGUUCUUGUGCUUUUCUAUCUGUGUGUGUGUCUGUAUGUACACAUACUAUAUAUAAUAUAUAUAAUAUAUGGAUUUAUGAAGCUGACUUUUGAAAUUUAUGAUGGUGAGAAACUUUUAUUAGUUGCUACGUUGUCAUUGACUUUUGCAGCAUAAAUCCAGUUGUUUUUGUCAUAUAUAUAUUCUUCUUAUUCUUCUUCUCUCUCUCUCUCUCUCUCUCUCUCUCUCUCUCUCUCUAUAUAUAUAUAUAUAUAUAUAUAUAUAUAUAUAUAUAUAUAUAUAUAUAUAUAUAUAUAUAUAUAUAUAUAUAUAUAUAUAUGAGAUUUGAGUAUUAGUAGCUGAUGGAAGUUUGUUUUGUCAAUUUAUUUCUUCAUUAAGCAUAUACAACUUUUUUUAUUAAACAAUAAUAAAAGGUUUAAUAGGAGUGUCAUUAAACCUUAAUCAGCACAUUUAAUGGCAAAACCGGGCCCGUCUUCAUUCGGGCCCAUAACUUGAAAAUUCUAUCGAUUAUUUUUAUAAAAAAAAUAAUCGAAAAGAUUUCGAAAAAAUAUGAUAUUCCAACUGUUUGAUAUUAUUCACAAGUUAGUAUUGAAAAUUGCAUUAAUAUUGCAGCUGAAGAAUUAGGAAUAAAAGAGUUAAUACCAGCCUAUCUUGACCCAAACUUGAAGCCUCAAGAUCUUCUAACAGGUGUCAGCUUUGCUUCAGGGGGGUCUGGAUUUGACCCCCAAACACCUCAAUUAGCGGUAUAUACAUACAUAUUUAUAUUCACACAAUUUUUAAUUUUUAAUUUUUUUUAAUAUUCAUAAAUACAAAGUAAUAAUAUUUGUUGUUUCUACAGUCAGUGACACCAUUAUCUACUCAACUGGAGCAAUUCAAAGAGUACAUUGUGAAGCUCAAAGUGCAGUGNNNNNNNNNNNNNNNNNNNNNNNNNNNNNNNNNNNNNNNNNNNNNNNNNNNNNNNNNNNNNNNNNNNNNNNNNNNNNNNNNNNNNNNNNNNNNNNNNNNNUCAAUUUCUCAACCAAAUAAAAAAGAUACGAGGCUGGAGAAAUAUGAUUUGUUGUAUACGUAGGAACUGUACAAGCUUGGACCAAGAAGAAUCGGAGUUUUUGGAAUCCCACCGAUCGGGUGCUUGCCAGCUCAGCGAAGCCUAGCAGGUGGCUCGGGGAGAAUGUGUGUAGAAGAGUACAACAAAGCUGCAAUAUUAGUUAAUUCUAAGCUCUCACCUACACUCGAUUCUCUCACCGCAACGUUGCCUCAAUCAAGAAUCGUUUACAUUGAUAUUUACAACCCUCUUCUUAAUCUCAUCCAAUACCCUCAAAAUUACGGUCAGCCCUACCUCUUCAUACAUACAUAUAGAUAUAGACAUAAUGCAUGUAAUAAUAAAGAUUCAAUUUUUAAUUUUUUUUACAGGGUUUGAAGUUAGUGACAGAGGUUGCUGUGGGACAGGAAAUGUAGAAGUGGUGAUACUGUGUAAUAGAUAUAGUGGAACAUGUGGAGAUGAUUCUAAGUACGUAUUUUGGGACAGUUAUCAUCCAACUGAGAAAGCAUACAAGGUUCUUGUCGAUCAAGUCCUUCUAAAAUAUCUCGACAAAUUCGUGUGACGGCUCAUUCAACGUAACUGGCCGACUUCUUCCCGACAAUUUAUCUUGUCUCGAGACGGGAACUACUGUUUACGAGUGUCUUAUUUUUAUGUGUUUUUUCAUACAAUCAAAACAUAAGUAGUGCUUGCAUUUAUAUUCAUCUUAUAUUGAGAUGGAAAUGCAACACACUUUGGUUCAUAUAUAUAUAUAUAUAUAUAUAUAUAUAUAUAUAUAUAUAUAUAUAUAUAUAUAUAUAUAUAUAUACAUAAUCUCGUUUCACUUGAUUUCAAUCUCAAUUUCGCAGACAGUGCCAAUUUUAUAAAUUCUUGAAUUCGAAAAAUGUUGGACACUCAGAGUCGAUAAUUUGAUCCUAACGAAAUUACAUAAACAGCUUCAGCUUCACAAAAAAAAAAAAAAAGAAAAAAAAUUACUCUGCUGAAUUUGGACAACAAUUUCACCCCGAACAAUGUAGAACGAAAUCUUUAUACAACAAAAAAGUUUAAUUGCAAACAUUUGAUUGACACAAUUAUUCAAUCCAUUUCCAAAACAACAAACAAAACACUUCAACAGCUAAACGAAAAUGCGAGUAAAUAUGAACACAUAUCCAUAGAGGAUCAGAAGCAACCUUAAAUGAGAUCAAGUCUCCUUCUCUUUCCCGGUUAAGGAUGUCUUAAACCAAGGUAUCCAGACCGAUGUUCGUUUCCGGUAGUUCUUGUACGCCUCAGCCCUGUACUGCUGCUUCAACAUCCGUUCCUCGACAAGAAUAGUCACGUAGGCCAAGCACAAGCUGUUGACCAAUGCUCCGACGAAGCACCACCCACAGCCCAAGUUCCAAGCGAAGAUCACCAAACCCCACCACCAUAACUGCUCCCCGAAAUAGUUCGGAUGCCGCGAGUACUGCCAUAGCCCUUCGUCGAGAUUCGGCACUAAAUCUUGGCCAAGCUUCUUCAGCCUUUCGUUUCGAGUGACGAAAUUGUGAAGCUGUGUAUCGGCAAAGUAUGCAAUGGUUACUCCGGUCAAGCACACUAGCGAUGCCAAUAAAUCCCAUAUGUUUAAUUGCUUAUCUUUCGAGUGGACAACGUAGAGAGGCAAGCAUAUACCCAUCAGAAAAACCUGUAGAAAGAUUGUUUUAUUAUAGAGUUAAGUUCGUUCAGGCAAUUCAUCGAACAGGUAAACUACAGUGAAGUGAUUUUUACCUGCUGAGCAAGGUAGACAGCGAAGAAGGAAAUCCACCACCAUUUUUGGCCGUACUGUUGGUGCAUAUCGCUGAAUCGCCAGUCUUCUCGAGCACCCCACUGCCAUUUUUCUCGACGGAAGUAGCUGUGAGUGAGCCUAAUCGACCAAACCCACGUCAGAAGAAUCACGAGCCUCGAUCUCCAGGAAUUGCAUUGCGCUAGCGGGUGGGUUGAGAAGUAAUGGAUCAGCAACAAUGGUAUCAUCGUCCAAUACAAAUCUAUCAUCUGAGAAUAACACCACAUUUUACAGUUGACAAUUUUAUAAGAAAAAAAAUUGAUAAGGAAGACCGACGAAAACAAGAAAUGCGAUAAUGAGAGGUGCAGUAAAUUACGAACCCAGUGGCUGGAUUGGAGGACGCCGAUAAGCCAGAAGAGAACGUUGACAUUGAGGAAGAAGAGGGUGUUGGCUAAAAGAAGAGGGUGGUGAUAGCACCAAGUCCAGAGAGGAGAGAGGGAACCUGCUUCUGCUGCGGCGGAGUAAUGGCGGAGGAAGGAGAGAUAGAAGAAAAUGGAAGGAAGAGGAGCGAGAAGCGCCACCACUGCGUUCCGAAGGUUUUUGCCAUGAGUGUUGUUGCUGCUCGACGAAGCCAUACCGAUGGUGACAGAGACUUAAUUAUCAGGCCUUGUUUUAUAGCCGCUGUUUUGGAUCUUGAUUAAUAUUUUUUUAAUUUAUUAUUUAUUCUCUUUGGAGUAUCAAAACAUAUUUACUUUUUUAUUUUGAUUUUUAUUAAUAAAACUAAAUUAUAAUAAACGUUAAAAUACAAAUAAACAUCACUUUAAGUUUUUAAAUCUUUUCGAAAAAAAUAUAUGGUGGUCUUAACUCCCACGUAGCUAUAGAGAUACUGUAAUGUCAACAAUCGAUCAGUGUGUAAAGUCUAUAUUGUCCUAAAACGAUAGGUUUCAGGGUUUCGAGAGAAUUACCAGAUCACCCUAUUCAUUUAGGGGUGACGAAGAUCGUACCAUUGAGCCGUUUCUUUUUCUUUUUCUCGGAGGUCUGGAGAAAGUUGAAAUCAAUAGGAAUUUCUUAAUCCUCCAUUUCCGAAAGAUAGAGCGUGGAAUUAUUUUUCCUUUCCGUAUGGAUCAUGAGAUUGUUUGGUAUAAACAACUCACUUCUUGGUCUUCGACCCCCUCAGUCACUACGAACUCCCCGUCAUCAAACCACAAGAUUAAAUUACUUACCUUUGUGGGUUUUAAUGAUGCACACUUGAGUGUAUAAUAGUUGUUAGGGGGAAAAAGGCUAGUAAUGUAAAUAUUAAUUAAUCAUAUACCCAUAUAUCAUAUAUGUAUAUGUAUGUGUGAUAUAAUAAAAUGCAACACUAGAUCAGAACAAAAAUUCAAAUUGCAACACUUACAUUUGGAUUAUAAUAAUUUGCAAUUGUAUUAUACAAUACAAUUGCACAUAAUUAUUAGAAUAAGAUCACUCGAAAAUAAAAUGGGAUUCUUCAAGUUUGAUAAAUGAUGAUGAACUUGCCGGCGCCGUCGAGGUGUGCAAAUAAUAAUAAUAUUUUCCGGUGAAAGGUAAACGAAGAGUUAAAGCGGCGGGGACCACUGAAUUAAUUAGUGGUGUGCUUAGUGGGUUAAUGAUGAUAGUUAGUAGUAAUAAAUGAUGAGCUCCACCCCUCUCUAUAGCUGGAAAGUUGAAAAUUAAAAUGAAAUCUUCUCACCGUAUCUCUUUUUCCGUCCCUACUAAAUACCUUUCUCCGCCGGCGAAUAUUUCCACCGCCGUCUUCGGUGGCGCUAAAGUACUUACUGAUAUCAUACUUUAUUCAGGAAUCGAUUGACUUUUUCCCUAAAUAAAUAAAUAAAUACAUCGCCUAUUAGAAUUUUUAUUCCCUUUUUAUUUAUUUAUUAUUUUUUAUAUUAGCGUUGAUUUCGGUAAUGAAAGCCCAUUGGGCUUGGUCCGAAAAAUCUGGGUUCAGUUGUUAACAUGAAACAACAGAUCCUAGCUUUGGGCCCUUGUGAAAAGAUAUGAAAUGGAUCAUAAAAUUGGGUACCCUCUUAAGUCUUAAGUUCGAACUAUUUCAGAAUUACAAACAUACCCUUAAGUUUAUCUUAAUUUCGAAAGUGACCCCUGAAAGUUUGCAAUAUAAAAAUGAAAGAUGUAAGAGAAGCAUCCAAGGUAGUCCUUAGUCAUUACACACCACAAUGAAAGGAUAUACACAAUCGAUACAUACAUGUGGUGGCUGGUGCCCAUCCAACAAAAAGUUUUGGUUGAAUAUUUUUCAUUUUGACCCCACUAAUCCCACCCCCAAACUAUUUAUGUCCCACUUUCUCACACACGCCUCAAAAGUUGAGUCAAGCAUGAUAUUGUUUUUUAUAGGAAAAAAAUUAGUUUUUGUCCCUUUAGUUUGCACCAAUUUCACAUUUGGUCCCUCAUGUUCACAAAAAACAAAUUUAAUCCCUUAUGUUUAGAAAAAUCAAUAUUUUAAAGCUAAAACUAACGGAAUCAAGUGUGUGCCGAUCAUUGCUUUAACUAAUGUAAUAACGAUAAAUUGACGAAAAUGACCAAAAGUGUUCAAUUAUUGGAACAUGAGGGACCAAAUAUGAAAUUAGUGUAAACUUGAGGGGGCGAAAACUGUAAUUUCCCCAUUACAUAUAUAUAUAUAUAUAUAUAUAUAUAUAUAUAUAUAUAUAUAUAUAUAUAUAUAUAUAUAUAUAUAUAUAUAUAUAUACAACUCAUUUAUAUGUGAUGGUCAAAAUUAUUUUCAUAAACUUCUGAAUGAAAUUCAAGAAUAUAAUAUAAUCUUGAAUUAUGAAUAUGGAGUAAUUAAUUAAUUAAUUCUUGUAUUUGAAACUAUCAUUUUUCACUUAAUUAAUUUUCUUUUUUGCAUGCACAUGAGAGUAGUAAUUAAUUCCUUUGUGGCCACAUGAAAAAAACCCACCAAAAUCCAAACAAUAAUUCUCUUACACAUUGAAGAAAGUCACUUUCUCCCAAACCCAAAUCUCCAGAAAUCAAUGCUUCUUCCCCUUUCACCAGCUCGGCUCUCAUCUUCCUCCCCAAAAACAAAACAAAAAAGACAGUUGCCAUUUUCCAACGGUUUCUCUCUCCAAACAACAAAGUUAAAUAUUUUCUCUCUCCAAACAAGAAAUUAAACUCAAAAAAAAAAAAAAAAAAAAAAAUGGGAUCUUGGGAGCAGUUCGGAGAAAUCGCUAAUGUAGUACAACUAAGCGGUCUGAACGCAAUAUCAUUAAUAGGUUUGAUAGUGAAGGCGGCGAGCACUGCAAGAAUGCACAAGCAGAACUGCAGGCAAUUCGCGCAGCACGUUAAAAUGAUUGGGAAUUUGCUUGAGCAGCUCAAGAUUACUGAGUUGAAGAGAUACCCUGAAACUCGGGAGCCAUUGGAGCAUCUCGAAGAUGCUUUGAGAAGGGCUUAUCUUCUUGUCAACAGCUGUCAAGAAAGAAGCUAUCUUUAUUUAAUGGCUAUGGGUUGGAAUAUUGUCUAUCAGUUUAGAAGAGCUCAAGAAGAAAUUGAUCGCUAUUUAAGGAUUAUUCCUCUUAUUGCCCUUAUUGAUAAUGCCAGGGUUAAGGUAAUUUUACAGUUUAUUAAUUAAGACAAUAUUUUUUUUAAAAAAAAUUUAUAAUUUUUUUUAUAACUUUUUUAAUUUUAAAAAAAAAAAAUUAUUAUUUUUUAAAUUUUUUGUUUUAAUUUUUUUUAAAUUUUUUAUAAUUUUUAUAGUUUUUUUAUAAUUUUUGUAACUUUUUUAAUUUCACAUAUUAAAGUUAUAAAAAAGUGAAAGGGGGCACUAAUUAAGGUAGAUUAUUAGUGAUUCUUGAGAUGCCUAGUUUUUUUUAUCAUGUCUUGAAUUGUAAUUGUGUGGAAUAUUCAUUAAGGCCGUGUUUGGUUGCUAAGAUAAGAUUAGUCGAAGUAAGAUCAAAUAAUGUUAAGGGAUGUGGUGUGCAUUUUGCUACUACAAAUGUCUACUAUUAUUAAUCAAUUGAUGAAUUAAUUAUAUUAAUUAUUCAGGAGAGGGUAGAAGAGAUUCAAAGGGAUCAGCGUGAAUACACGUUAGACGAAGACGACAGAAAAUUGCAAGUCGCCAUUUCCGAGAGCGACACAACAAUGUUGAAGAAGAGCAUUUCUUGCACUUACCCGAAUUUGCCUUUCGACAAAGCAUUAGAGAAAGAGCACGAAAAGCUCAAGAAAGAGCUUCAGAAUUCACAAGCUAAUAUGGACGUUGGUCAAUGCCAAGUCAUCGAACGUUUGAUCGAAGUUACUGAAAUUGCUGCAAAUUCCGUUACGGAGAAAGAUUCGCCCCGCAAAAGUAGUCCGCAAAGGGAACACUUUUCUAGCAAGAAUAAUAAUAAUAUAUGUAGAGAAACCACAAUAAAUACGGCAUCAAUGAAGGAAACAAUUUGGCAAGACGAGUGGCAUUCGGAUUUACUCGGCUGCUGUUCCGACCCUUACUUGUGUGCGUUCCCUUUUUCAGACACCACCUUAAUUUGAUCGCAUUAUUUCGUUAGAGCAUGGAAUUUAAAUUUGUUUUUAAGUAUGUAAUGACAGGUUUAAAGACCUUCUUUUGUCCUUGUGACACAAUUUCAAAGAUAGCAUCAGUGGCAACAGGAAAUGAAAUAAGUGAGUGUAUAUAUAUAUAUAUAUAUAUAUAUAUAUAUAUAUAUAUAUAUAUAUAUAUAUAUAUAUAUAGAUAUUAGUUCUUGAUGCAAGUGCAAUUGCGAAAAGAAACUAAUGCAUAGUGUUUACCGUGACAGCUUCAGCAGAGACGUGUAAUGAAAUAAUGGCGUACACAUUGAUACUCGGAUGUUGUUGCUAUACGUGUUGUAUAAGAAAAAAGCUUCGGAGGAGACUUGACAUCAAGGUACUCUUCAAAACUACGAAACUACGUUUGUCUAUUCUUGGAAUAUAUGUUCGAAUAUUCACGUACAUAAUAUUUUGCGAUUAUGUUGCAGGGUGGCAUAUUUGAUGAUUUCUUGUCACACUUUAUGUGUUGUUGCUGUGCGCUCGUUCAAGAAUGGAGGGAAGUGGAGAUACGCGGUACUAAUUCCUAUUUUUUACCAAAAUGCAAAAAAAAUAAAAUGAUUUACGAUUACAUACAGAGGAUGUUUUAGCUAAAUUAAAGUGUACUAAUAUUUUGCAAUUAAAUUUGUAUCUACAGGUCAGCAUAAGACAAGGAUUAGCCCUCCACCAUCUCAACAAAUGGAGUUUUGAAGGGUGUUUUUGUAAGAAUAUAGAUUGUUCUUCGCAGCAUAAUGUUGGUUGUGUAUAUUUAUAGUACAGUAUUCACAAUACUUACUUGCAGACUGAAGUGUAUCUAUAAUCCAUGCAAUCACAAAUAUGCAUUCUUCAAUACGAUUUGUUGUAUUGAAAAGCUUUGAAUUUGUCCCCCAGAAAUUCUCGCAAUAUCGAAUUUUUCUUGCAUGAAAACCACAAAAAUAUUAGGGAUUCCAUCAGCAUUGGACAGCAAAAGUUUAGGAUAAGCUCAUUGUACAGAGCCACAGAUUUCUUAUUGAUCAAUGUCUUAUAAAUCCAAAGUACUUUUCACAUACCAAUUCUAAAACAAGAAACAAAAUCCAAGAAACCCCAUGAAUCCGAAGGCUCAUUACAUGAAAAUGAAAAUGAAAAUGAAAAUGAAAAUGAAAAUGAAAAUGAAAAAUCCACUGGUGAUAAUAAACGAAAGCAGAAAUCCAAUUCAAAUUUAAUCCCAUAUAUAUGGAGGGGAAAAAGGGUUAAAAGUUGCAAACUACUCCUGCAAAGUUUUCUUAGCAGCAUCUUCUUCAGCUUUCAUCUUCUGCUCCCACUUUCUCUUCUUAUAGUCGGCCAACAUCUGUGGCAUACCUUCCAUGAGUUCUUUAGUACGUUCUCGUUUCUCAGCAGCUAAUCGGUCAACCUUAUGACCUUUCCUCUUGGUCUUCAUCUCCUUCCUCGCUGGAUCAUAUUCCCAAUCAGCUCCAGAUAAAAGGACUUCCUUACGGAGCCGAGCUCUAUGGCGUGCACUGAUUGAAAGAGGCUUCCAUGCUCCAAGCUCCCAGUAACCCCAUACACCCUUUGACAGCUCAUCCUUGUACUUUGCUAACUUCUCUUGCCAUGGAUAUUGGUAUCCUCCCACUGCUUUUGCAACAGAUUUUACUGCUUUUCCAGCCAUAGCUGAGACUGUAUUUUGAAAGAUUGUGUAAGUGGGUAUUUGUAUCUUGAAGAAUGUAGAAACGGAACGAGCAAAUGAGACGGUCUAAAACAGAUGGAGUUUGGGAAAAUGCUCAAAACCUUCAAACAAUUUACUGUUUCUCUUUCAGACAUUUCAUCAAACAGCUUAACUACAGACCUUAGCUUACACACGGAAGUCUUCGAUUACAGUAAUAACAGCUUAACUACAGACCUUAGCUUACACACGGACAUCUUCGAUUACAGUAAUGAUUUUUCCGGACCAUGCAAUACAUAGGAUUUUAGAGAUGAGGAAUAAGUGAAAUAGACAGUCUAAAACAGAUAGAUUUGGGGAAAUGCUCAACACCUUCAAACUAUUUACUGUUUCUCUCGCAGGCAUUUCAACAAACACCUUAACUACAGCCCAUAGCACACGCAAAUUUUAAACUACAAUAAUGUUUUUUUAGGAUCAUGCUAUACGGAGGAUUCAGAGAUAAGGAAUAAGCAAAUUGAAACCUACAGUCUGUUCCUUGUUCAGCAAAAAAUUAACACUGAAGGAAUAUAUGUAUCUAAACAGCGCCAUUCUCUCAUAAUUACGAAAUUUCUAUGACAACUCGGAGAUCUUCGAAAAGAUAAACACGAAAAUGAACAUCAAAUUUAAUUAGAUUUAUCGAGGGAAAACGAAAGAUUAGCAGAAAAAAAAAACUGACCUUUAAAUAGCGAGUUUCUUGAGGAAGAUUGAGAUUUGAGCUGAGCAGGAGCGUUCUUGAAUAGAAUUGGAGAAUAAAAUUGCAAUGCGGGGUAAACUUAUUGCCACGUGUACCUAGGGUUCUAUGUAUUAGUGUUUCCUAAUUUUCUAUUUGAGUUUUUUUUUUCCAUUUUGUAAUUAUUUUUAUAUUAAUGAAAUGAUCAUCAAGAAAUCUAUGAUUAAAAUUUAAAAUUAAGUAUAUGUAAUUACAAAAUUAUUAUAUACAAUUGGAUUAAUUUCGUUACGGGAAAUGCUAAAAGUAUGUAAAUGACAUUUUGCGAAGGAUUUAUGUAAAUAGGUGUUACGAACCACCUAUUUUAAAUUAUAUUUUAUAUGCACGUUACAAAAUCACUUGUGAAUAUUUCUUUACGCUUUUAAUUUUUUACUUUAUUAUUAUUUUGAAUUCGGUAAUUUCAUAAUCGGCCUAAACAUGCAUAUUCGGAAGAACAAUAUUUGGGCGAAAAUUUACAUCUGCAAACACAAAAUUGCCCAUGACAAUGACAAAAUAAAUUAUCUUACACAAACUAUAAAUAUCAUUCAAGAUCAUCAAUUGAAAAUAUAUUUAUAAAAAAAAAAAAAAAAAAAAAUGGUAAAAAUAUUCAAAAAUGGACAAAUAUUCGAAAGGCAGUUAAAGUAUUUAACCAAAAAAACAUGAGGAGCUCAGCUCACUCCCAAGUUAGGGCAACUCAUCAAUUGUCGCGUUUACACAAUGCCCCGCAAUAGUAUACUAAGACACGACACCCUUCCGAGAAAUCAUCAUCAGUAUUAGUACAAAAAAACAACCGUCGAUCCAUAGUAUAAAUUAAAAUUCGCCAGCUAGGUUGAAUAUCCUCGCGUUCCUCCUCCAACUCCUCUUUACUUCCAUAAAUCAAAACUCGUUUAUCUUCACUCUCCUCAAACUAUGCUUCACUCUCCUCAAACUGCAUACACAGAAAACACUGUUAAGUCAAAAAUAAAAUAAAAUAAACUGCAUUUGGGAACACAACUGAACAAACCUACCUUUUCGAACGUUCAAAACUUUCUUGACAUGGUAAAGUCAUACACUAUCGGGAUGAAUUUCUUCUUGAGUGUCAUCUCUUUUAGUCAACACAGACUGAUGACCAGUCAACGAACCUGUAGCAGCCAUCUCCGCUUGACCUUCACUUGCAUUCACGUCGCCAUUUUCACCGUCGUUCAGUGAAACCGCAGCUAAGGAGGCUGCCACUGUACUUUCAGAUGUAGAAGUUGAGGCGUAUGCCUCAGAAUCAGGAUUAGGCCCUCUAUAUAAGGGUAACCAUCUUUUCCACUCGUUACGCCUCCUCACUUUGUCUCCCUGCAAAUAAAAAAAUAAAAAAAAUACAAAUAUUGAAUAUUAUAAUAAUUUUGGUGCCAAAAUAAAAUAAAAGCUUGGAAGAUAAAAUCAAUAGAGAGUUACGAGAGUAGAAAUGAAGAGCUGACCUGUACUUCCACAAUCGCGGAACUUCUCAUUGACUCCAAAAUUAGUGGGAUAUCAUUUGUCAACAGCGUAACCUAAAAAGGCAAACACGAAUACAUGACACCGGUCCAUACAAUAAAGUAAUAGGAAUUUUAUAAUCAGAUUAAAGGCCCUUCAAACUUGCUCAGUUAAUGCAGCAGACAUCCAAGAUACGAUCAGAUUUACACGAUGCUAUUGUCAAGAACAAGUACGGCAAUCUAAUUAAAGCAAAAGGAGAAAAAUUCAAUAAUUUAAUGCAGUCCAUUUAAAUAAACCAAAUUAGGAUUGAAAAAAACUCGGGAUGAUGGUUAAUAUAGAAAAACAGAUGUGGUCAAGAAAGUUUCUCUAUUAAGUUAUUUUAUCAAACUUUCAUACAAGUGUAGAUUUCCUUCUAUUAGAUAAUCCUUUAAAGAAGAAUCUGUAUAAUGGCAUCUUCAAUUAAAACAUGCUACAUUGAGAAGAACAAACUACAGAUGCCAAUAAGCAUAAUUGUUGAUGCAACCAAUACCAGCAGAAGUAUGCAAUAUUAUAAAAUCAACGAUAUGCUUAUGCUUUUAGAUAAAAUGCAAAGUUUGUUAACAUUAUACAUUCAGGUAUAAUUUUCAAGCGUCGCAAAUUAUGAACACAUAGAAGUUAUCUAAAUUAAUUUUUUUAACCCAGGAGAUACAUCAAUAAACCAUAAGAAGCACAAAAUUGAGUCCGUCGAUAAAAAUCCACGUUGAGUUAAAUAUGUGCAAUGAACCAUUAUCCAGAAACAAAUUCCGAAUAUCUUAUUGUGAUAGCAUCAGAUCAUAAAUCAUAAAAGCACGAAUUCAACAGCAACUUACUUUCCGAAAGGCAGCUAUCAAAGUAAUAGGCACCCAGCCCUGAUCAUCCAUCUUUGACCUCAAAAAGUUAUCCUUCACCAAAUUUGCAUCGCUGGGACAAGAUAAUUACUUCCUUCAGCAUAACAGAGCAGAUAAAGAAAAAUACAAGCAGGACUUAGCUCUUGAGAGCAACUCUUUCAAAAAAGAUUACCUGAAAUAGAAGUCUAUUUGUCUAACAAUUUUACUUUCUAAAGGUUCUUCUUCAUUAGCAGGAGGUAAGAACAUAGGUGGCAGUGGAGGACCAAUUGGCAUCCUAAAAGGCUCAGGAGACAUCGCUGGAACAUACAUAUAAGGAGACACCAUAUCUGAAACUACACAACAUUUCUUAGAAAGCCCGAAUAAAGCCUAAAUAGUCAAAUUCUAGAACAGUAGUAGUAAAAUUCAACAGGCUCACCAAACCCCAUUGGUGCAGGGAAAAGUCUCAUAGGUGGGGGUGCCAUAAAGGGGCCGGCGCCAGGUGGCAGUGGAGGUGGCAUGUACCCUCCGGGGAGAGGGGUCAUAAACGGAGGGGGAUGAUGAACAUCUCUACGAUCUUGAUCGCGUCUGCCUCCUCCAUGGUUGUUGUGGUAGGGCCCAUCUCCACGAGGGCGGGGCCCGUAAUUAUUCCUCCUCGAAUUAUUCCUCGGAGAAGAAUGGUCAUUACCAGUGUGCGACUGAGAACCACCAACUCCACCGACAGGUCUUGCCCCUCUCAGGGAAGUAUCCAACACAGGUGGAACCAUACCGUAAGGUGCUUCGAAAACAGGAUAUGGUGGCGGCAUUGGAAGAGAUGGCGGCUGAUUGAAGGAAUUCUGAGACGGUCCACUUACUGAGUUGCUACCUCCACCACCACCACCACCACCACCUCCGUUGCGAUUCCUUGACCUUGGCCUUGGAUUGCUUCCAGCAUGAUUAGCAUGGACAUUGUUAUUAGCAGGUCUCUGAGGAGGUUGAGAUAUUAUAGGAGCCUGUAAAACCAAACAAAAAUAAAGAUGUUAGAGGCAACUUUCCAGUCAUUCUCAAUGAUUAAUAAUAGGCCUUGCAAUCAUUAGAUGGAUGUAAAACAGAAGUGAUAUAGUUAAAGUUUACAUGCCCCUGAUUAAAAGAUAAAAAAGGCUGCAAAAACAGAUAACAAGUCCACUCAGAAGCGGAAAACAACUUCUUUAAUGAGUUUAAAACGGUCACACGCAGAAGAAAUAACAAUUUGCCAAGGGCUACAUGCAGCAUAAUGGCAGGCUGUGUAUCUUUAUGUAUGUACCAAAAGGGAAUUUAUGGCUAAAUUUCAAUCUUUAGACUAUUAAAUAUGAAUAACUUGGCAGCAAUGUUGACACAAAAAAUAACAAAGAAUACGAAAAAAUACUUCUUACAUCUUUAAAGAGUUUAAAAUAGUUACAAUUUUUUAAGGGGUACAUACAGCAUAAAGCCGGCUGUGUUUUUAUACUUAUAUAUACUAAAAAGAAAUUCAUUGUAAAACUUCAAUCUAUAUCAUUAGACCAAUAAAAAGAAUAACUUAGCAGCAAUGCUGGCACAAAUAAUAUGAAAAUCACUUCUUUAUAUCUUUAAAGAGAUUGCAAUACUUGCACGAACAAGAAGGAAUCACUGUAAAACUUCGAUUUUUAGACUAUUUAAAGAAUAGAGCCACCAAAUAUACCAAAUCAUAAGAACUGCAAGUAUAGCCACAAAGUCACACAAAUAAACCAGAUCAGUUAUAUUAUAUACAUAUAAUAACCUGCGAUGAAGACACUAAUCCAUCUGAAACGGGUCUGGGUGUAUCCGAUGACGAUCUCGGACCGGCUCGGGCGGUUUCAGAGAGAGCUGGCCAGGAAACAUCCCCACCCAUAACGGAAACAGGCUCAACAACGCCGUUUACUGGCCUGUUCCAAGCAGGCCUCCUCGGUGGACCAGCAUUACUACUGCCGUUAACAUCAGAGCUCUCGGGCUGGGCUUCCAAGCCCGAACUUUCAUUUGGAGCAGAAACCUGUUCCGCCGGCGGAGACGAAGAAGACCCAGGAGCGACGGUAGGGGAAGCGGAAGCGGCGGCGGCGGCGGCGGUAGGAGAGGAGGUUUGCUCGGUAUCUCCGCGAACGACGGAGGCCCACGGAGCAGGGAGGCUCCGGCGGAGCGACUGAGGACUGUUAACCCCUCCGCCGUUGGAGGCGACGUCUGCGGUAGUGAUUGCAGAGUUGUCCGUCACCAUCCUAGGGUAAGAACCAAAAAUCUAUACAGAAAACAAAAACCUGAGCAAUUGAAUUUUUUUUUUUCUUUAUGUGAAAACCUAAAUGUGUCUUCGGUGAAAACACCGAUAAAUACUGGUGGAAUUAGACGGAUUAAUUGAAAGAAAAAUAAUGUAUGUUGAAGGGGUGAUCGGAGGAUAAAUUAGGGUUUCGGCCGUCAAACAACAGCGAUCAAAACUUUGUUUCUCUCUCCUCUCCUCUCUCUCUCUCUAAAGUAGCACAGAGUAUGUAUUUUAGUGUGUGUUGUGAAUAUUGAAAGUGCUGACUGACUCUAUACCGGUGCUAAGGAGACCGAUUAUUUAUAUAUAUUGAGUACUAUAUUAAUAUAUAAAAUUAAAAAUAAAAUAAAAUUUGUAAAAUAUAAUAGUUGAAAAAUAAAAAAAUCAUACCAAUGCACAACUGUAUCCAAAUUAGUAGCCUAGUUUGUUUAGAAUUCUAUUUACUAGUUGCUAAAUAUAAAUUUAAAUCUUGUGAAAAAAUAUAAUAUAUUUAUAUUAAACUGAGGAAUAUAUUCCAAUAUACGAAAGAUAUUUUGUAUUUAUACAUAGUAAAAUACGGAAAUAUUCAUCAAUAAUUAGCCUUGGAUUCCAAACAUCAUUGCGUAUUAUUAAUCUAUUUUAUAGUAGUUUCCUUCUAAUUAAUCACACUUAAUUGGUCUUGUGAAUAUUUUAAUUAAAUUUCCUUGUUUAAUUAGUUAUGGGCUGUGUUAUAUAUGUGGUUCUUUCUUACUUGGUAAUUGGGCCGCCACAUCUGAAUUGGCCCGGCCCGUUCUUCCUUUCAACUACGUGUUUGGUUUUCUAAUUUUUCAUGCCAUUUGUCACAUCAACCAAAAUAAAACAAUUAUUUAUCUGAGCUCGUUACACAUAAAUCAUAAUUAAUUUAAUUUGUUUUAUAUCUCUAGUAUGAUUUGUGGGCGAUGUUUUUUCUCAAAAUUAAUAGUAAUUAAUAUACUUAAUUGUAAUUUUUAACAUCUUCUCAAAAUUAAUAAUAAUUAAUAUAUUUAAUUGUAAUUUUAUGCUGACGAGUAAUUAAGAAUUAAACUCAAAAUCAGAAGGAAUUGUUUAUAGAAUUAUAAUUUUAAUUUAAUGUUAAAACAGGGGAAAUGCAUGCACGUGGCACACAUCUCCUAGACAUAAAACACGUGAUGUAACAAACUUAAUAAUAGUCCAAAAAGAAGACAAAAUCCCCCAGCCUCAAAAUUUCAGACUAGUCUAUCCGGUUCAGAAUACUGUGUUUUGUAUCAUAAGUCAUAACUAACUCAUUUUCUUUUUAUUCAGAUCAAUUUUAUAUUAUUAUGUAAAUAUUGAUUUGAUGUAAAUCAAUAAAAUAUUAUAUUAAUUAUCAAAAGAAAAAAAUUAUACUUGUAUAUUACAUUAUUAAUUUAAAUUGGAAAAUAGUGUGCACAUUAUUUGGAUUGAAGUCCCGGCUUUUUCUCAGAUUCUCAACUACUAAUCUUUUAUUCCCCACUAUGCCACGUGGAUAAACCACGUUCUUUUAAUAUUGGGGAAAUAUGCAAUAGCCCCCUCAAAUGGAAAAUAUUUUGAACUAAACCCAAUUGACUAUUAAAGACUUUUGCCUACACCCAAGUUUCAUUCUUAAUUAGUGAGACACCCCUAACCAUACUUGAUAAGACUAAAGUGCCCUUAUGUGAUUAGGUUUUUAACGUGAUAUAAUUUAUUUCACUCUUUCACUCCCCCUCUCUCUUUCACGUUCUCAAUCUCUUCUCAUCUCCUCUUUUUUUUUUUUUUUGGACCUGAGACUGGAGAAUAUUGUUCCGAUUAGAAGAUCCGAUCACCGAAAAUUGGAUCACUGUUUUUUUUCCUAAUCUUAUUGUCUAUAUGUAUAUGUAACUGUGUGUAUACUUUUGAAGGUGUGAAUUAAAGUUAACGGUGUUUGUGCUUAUUUAUGUAUUGCAUAAAUAAGUGCUCUAAAAAUCCACGUGGAAGAGGAGCUCUGUGCAUGGUGUUGAAGAAGAGUUGCGUGAAAAAUAUCAGAAAUUGUUUGGAAUUGGUUUUUUUUUUUUUUUUUUUUUUUUUUUUAAUUUAGCCUAUGGAUUAUAAUAUUUGGUUCGCAAUUUACGAACGUUUGUUUUGUUCGGAGCAAAAUGUAUGGGGUUUGUGUCGUCCGAGUUGUAUCUGAUUUCAUUUUAUUUCGAUUUACAGAGUAGUCACAUAAUAGUCAUAUUCUCACUGUUCUGUUAAUAAUUAUGACUAUUGUUGAUUCACUCGAUUAGUGAUUUUAUGAAUUUCUUGUUUGUUCCCCACUCUCUCUUUCACUCACCGUCGUUGUCGUCGCAUCCCCCUCCUUCUCUUUCGUUAUUUUCGAUUUUUUGUUCUCCAGAUCUGGAGCAGAAGCAUCAACGUGACUAUAGUCUGGUUCGAAUAUGACUAUUGCUGAUUCACUCGGUUAGUGAUUUAUUAAUUUCUCGUGUUCGUUGUCUCUAUCGAUUUCUCUCUCGUUACACCACCAUCGUCUCCACAUAUAGAUUUGUACACCACCACCACCGUCGCCGCUCGUUACCGCCGCCUCAUCCUUUGUUUCCAUGUAAGCUUUUUCUCUAUUUUUCGUUAUCUUUCUCGUUNNNNNNNNNNNNNNNNNNNNNNNNNNNNNNNNNNNNNNNNNNNNNNNNNNNNNNNNNNNNNNNNNNNNNNNNNNNNNNNNNNNNNNNNNNNNNNNNNNNNNNNNNNNNNNNNNNNNNNNNNNNNNNNNNNNNNNNNNNNNNNNNNNNNNNNNNNNNNNNNNNNNNNNNNNNNNNNNNNNNNNNNNNNNNNNNNNNNNNNNNNNNNNNNNNNNNNNNNNNNNNNNNNNNNNNNNNNNNNNNNNNNNNNNNNNNNNNNNNNNNNNNNNNNNNNNNNNNNNNNNNNNNNNNNNNNNNNNNNNNNNNNNNNNNNNNNNNNNNNNNNNNNNNNNNNNNNNNNNNNNNNNNNNNNNNNNNNNNNNNNNNNNNNNNNNNNNNNNNNNNNNNNNNNNNNNNNNNNNNNNNNNNNNNNNNNNNNNNNNNNNNNNNNNNNNNNNNNNNNNNNNNNNNNNNNNNNNNNNNNNNNNNNNNNNNNNNNNNNNNNNNNNNNCAUAUAGUAAGUCAUAGUCAAUUAUAGUCAUAUUCGGCGUUGCAAGCCUGUGGAGAAUUUUUUAUCAAUUUUUUGUUUAAGAAAAAUGAAGAAAUAAAUGAAAAAAGUAUUUUUAUUAAAGAAUAGUAAAAUGAAAUAAAUAAAAAAUGGCUAAAUAAAGUCCGAAAAUAAUAUAAAAAUAAGAAAUAAAAAAAUAAAGUCCGAAAAUACUUUUUUUUUUGAUUUGGUAGCAAUUUUUUAGGAAUUUGAAAGCAGAUUUUUAGGAAUUAAAUUGUUAUUAUAGAAAGAGAGAAAAAAGGAAUAAUUGAGAUAAAUUAUACUAAUUAAUUAAUCCUAAUUAGUGGGAUUUAGGUCCUCAUUAAUAGGAAUUUUGUAAAUAGUAGAUAAUUAUUAUAAAAAAAAACGUGGGAUUUAGUUGCCUUAUUAAUAGGAAUUUUGUUAAUACUAGAUAAUUAUUAUAAAAAAAAACGUAAUGGGUGGUAUAAGGGUAAGAUUGGAAAUAAAUAUUUUAGGGGGUUUUCACAAAGGAAGAAUUAUGGUAUGGACAUAUCACUAUAUUUUAUCUAUAGGAGGGGUGUAUUGCUAAUGACCCCUUUAAUAUUUUCUCUGCCCUUAUUUUGGGCCCAGCAGCUUAGCCCAAUAGGAUUGGGCUUCAUUAAUAGGGCCAGAAAACAUCUAUUAUAAUACAUACGAGAUUUCGAUCCAAUUUUAAAAUAUCAAUAUUAUUAGGGAAUGACUAUAACAAAUCCCAAAUUUUUCUCAAUUCAAUAUCAAAAAAAUAAAAAUUGAAUAAUAAAUAAGUAAUGACAUAAAUACCCUUAAUGAAAAUAAAUACCAUACAAAUAUUAAAAAUUAUUAUAAUAUAUUGUAAUAGAUAUCUCAAGCUAUUACAUUACUUGUGGACUAAGUAUAAUUUAGCUACGUGUCUUCAUUUGCUGGUUGAUAUCCUUGAAAUAGGAUGACAAGGCUUGUACUCCUUUGUGUAUAAAUAGGUGCAUCCGAAAUGAAAAAUAGAUAGAUUGAACUUCCAGCACAUUUUGUAUCCUUCAAAUUUAUAUUUUGUAGUAGUUCAAUAGUACUUACAAUAUAUAUUAUUUCCUUCGUGUAAUAUAUAAUAUACGUAUAUACACAUACUUCAGUUAUUAUAGUUUAUUCUAUAACAAAAAUCUCAUUUUUCUUUCUUCAAUACAAACACACAAAAUCCCUCAAACCCUUCUUCUUCUUCACAAAUUCUCAACCUCUUCCUUCUUCUUCCUCAUAACAAAUUAAAGCCUUCUAAAAAAUCUCAAAACUAAAGAAAUUAAAAUCUCACAAAACUUAUAAAAUGGAGUUAUAAGACAAUAAUAUGGUAGUAUAUAUGGAAGGAGAACACAUUAAGGUAAGUAUCGAUGUAUUUUUUGAGCUUCGAAGUCGAUUUUGAAGUUUUUUUUUUUGAAACCCGCCGGCAAUUUUCGACACAUACAGGUCAAUUUUUUAGUCAAUUUUCGACACCAACGUGUCGAAAAAAAAAAACAAAUUUCGACACAUACCUGUCGAAAUUGUUUUNNNNNNNNNNNNNNNNNNNNNNNNNNNNNNNNNNNNNNNNNNNNNNNNNNNNNNNNNNNNNNNNNNNNNNNNNNNNNNNNNNNNNNNNNNNNNNNNNNNNNNNNNNNNNNNNNNNNNNNNNNNNNNNNNNNNNNNNNNNNNNNNNNNNNNNNNNNNNNNNNNNNNNNNNNNNNNNNNNNNNNNNNNNNNNNNNNNNNNNNNNNNNNNNNNNNNNNNNNNNNNNNNNNNNNNNNNNNNNNNNNNNNNNNNNNNNNNNNNNNNNNNNNNNNNNNNNNNNNNNNNNNNNNNNNNNNNNNNNNNNNNNNNNNNNNNNNNNNNNNNNNNNNNNNNNNNNNNNNNNNNNNNNNNNNNNNNNNNNNNNNNNNNNNNNNNNNNNNNNNNNNNNNNNNNNNNNNNNNNNNNNNNNNNNNNNNNNNNNNNNNNNNNNNNNNNNNNNNNNNNNNNNNNNNNNNNNNNNNNNNNNNNNNNNNNNNNNNNNNNNNNNNNNNNNNNNNNNNNNNNNNNNNNNNNNNNNNNNNNNNNNNNNNNNNNNNNNNNNNNNNNNNNNNNNNNNNNNNNNNNNNNNNNNNNNNNNNNNNNNNNNNNNNNNNNNNNNNNNNNNNNNNNNNNNNNNNNNNNNNNNNNNNNNNNNNNNNNNNNNNNNNNNNNNNNNNNNNNNNNNNNNNNNNNNNNNNNNNNNNNNNNNNNNNNNNNNNNNNNNNNNNNNNNNNNNNNNNNNNNNNNNNNNNNNNNNNNNNNNNNNNNNNNNNNNNNNNNNNNNNNNNNNNNNNNNNNNNNNNNNNNNNNNNNNNNNNNNNNNNNNNNNNNNNNNNNNNNNNNNNNNNNNNNNNNNNNNNNNNNNNNNNNNNNNNNNNNNNNNNNNNNNNNNNNNNNNNNNNNNNNNNNNNNNNNNNNNNNNNNNNNNNNNNNNNNNNNNNNNNNNNNNNNNNNNNNNNNNNNNNNNNNNNNNNNNNNNNNNNNNNNNNNNNNNNNNNNNNNNNNNNNNNNNNNNNNNNNNNNNNNNNNNNNNNNNNNNNNNNNNNNNNNNNNNNNNNNNNNNNNNNNNNNNNNNNNNNNNNNNNNNNNNNNNNNNNNNNNNNNNNNNNNNNNNNNNNNNNNNNNNNNNNNNNNNNNNNNNNNNNNNNNNNNNNNNNNNNNNNNNNNNNNNNNNNNNNNNNNNNNNNNNNNNNNNNNNNNNNNNNNNNNNNNNNNNNNNNNNNNNNNNNNNNNNNNNNNNNNNNNNNNNNNNNNNNNNNNNNNNNNNNNNNNNNNNNNNNNNNNNNNNNNNNNNNNNNNNNNNNNNNNNNNNNNNNNNNNNNNNNNNNNNNNNNNNNNNNNNNNNNNNNNNNNNNNNNNNNNNNNNNNNNNNNNNNNNNNNNNNNNNNNNNNNNNNNNNNNNNNNNNNNNNNNNNNNNNNNNNNNNNNNNNNNNNNNNNNNNNNNNNNNNNNNNNNNNNNNNNNNNNNNNNNNNNNNNNNNNNNNNNNNNNNNNNNNNNNNNNNNNNNNNNNNNNCAACUCAUUUCAAUUAACAAAUAAUCACAAUAAAAUUAAAAAAAAAAAAAACAAAUACAUCAACACUGAUCACCACAAUUAAAUUAUUUAAAAAAAAAAGCAUGCAUAUAUAAAUUCAACCAUAUGUAUAUAUAUACUAAUGAUUGAUAGAUCUACAAUCGAGUCUAAUCUCAGUUCCAGCACCAUUGAUGCUGCUCAUCUUCACCAUCGAGUUCGCAAACGCCUCGUAAAACUCGGGCUGAGAGGCAGCAUACUUCUGUACCAAAGCCUGUGUCCUGGAAUUAGUAAGAAGUGCCUGGUCCGAAGAGAAAAUGCUCUUCCCUUGUACCAGCAUUUUGUAGUAGGCAUUAUCGAAAACCGUCGGCGAAGUAUCUAGAAAUGAACCCGCAUUUUUCACCGUGUUAUGCAUCGGGCAAACUUGCCUUAAGCUGGAAGCAAACGAUGGAUCCAUCGACGGAUCGACGUCCGUUUUAUUGUUGAAGUUGUGGAUUCUGUUUUGGAAUGAUGAACAGUGGGAGAAUCCAAGUGUGUGCCCUCCUGCAUAAAUAUUUAAUAAUAAUUAUGAGUGUGUUUAGUUAAUUAAUAAGGUAAUUAAAUAGUAAUUAAUAAUUAAUUAAUUACCUGAGAGUGCCACUAGAUCAUCAAUAGAAAGGCCUCUUUGAGAAAAGCUCUGUUGUAAUUGAGAUAUAUUGAAUGUGGGAAAUGGUAAUUGUAGUGAAUCAUUGGCAAUUGAAAUUCUUCCAUCUUUUCUCCCUUUAGGCACAUUCCAAUUGGGACCUCCAGACUAAUUAAAAUAUAAUUAGUUAAUUAACCUCUUCAAUUUGUGCUAAUUAUUAAUUAGAAUAUUAUUUAUUCGAAUUUUAAAUAAUUAAGGACACUAAUAAGGAAUAAUACUUACAAGUGAAACUGCAUCCCUAGCAGCCAGAGCUAAAAUAUCAGCACAAGAAACGACACCGGGGCACAUUUUCUCGACUUGUUUCUUUGCAUUAUCAAUAACAUAAAAUGCAUGCAACGAAAUAUUCGGAGGUCCGUCUUUUUCGGCCUGGUUUUUCACCGUCGAAUUCAGCAGCACAGAACCAUCACAACCCUUCAAAAAAUAAAUAAUUACACAAACUAAUCAAUUUAAAGUCGAAUAUACUUACGACAGAUAAUUGUUUUUUUUUAAUUUGUUUACUUACCCUGAUGAAACAAUCAUGGAAGUGCAUCCUAAGUAAAGCUGCCGGAACCGUUUUGUCGUUGAUCAUGCCUUUGUGCACGGCUUCUGCGAUGGCCGUCUCGGCGUUAGGGCAUGUUUGGUCGUAGUAAUUCAAACUCAGUGCAUUUGAAGAGCUGAUCAAAGUUGAUGCAAAAACAAACAUAGUAACUAACAAGGAAACAAAUUUGGCUGCCAUUUCUUAAAUUAAUUUAUCUUCUUUUUCUUGAUUUAGUGCAUGUGAUUGGUUGAAGUCUACAAAGGGUAUUUAUAGGACAACAUACACCCCCCUACCCCCACCCCACCCCCAACUGAUCUUCUAGUGGUGGUGGUUUAGUUGGGGAGAGAUGAUUCCACCAUUGACAUGUUUGGUGAGCUAGAACAAAGUUUGAUGAGUAAUUUGCUAAGAGUAGUUAUAUCAUAUAUUAUAAAUUAAAACUACAGAAAUGAAUUUUUAUUAGUAUUGUUUGUUUAGCAAGGCAUUCCAUUUCAGCAUGUAGUAUUAUAUAUUACAUUUUGGGCUAAAAAGAUGUAGUCUUGCUGACGUGGAGAACCAUGCAUGUAAUAAAAUUUCAAUUUGUUAUAGUUGGUAUACCAGACGAAGUUUAAUUAAGUCAUACUUUAUAACCAAUUCACUUGCAGGGUUAGUGUAUAACUAUAUACUUCAAAUAAAAAUAUUAUUAUGUGAUGUGAGAGACUGGAAAUUGUUAUUUAUUUUGGUGGAUAGCAAUCCUAGAAAUUGUUGGCCGAGCUUAUAAGAUGUUUAAGAGCUUAUAAUAAGUUUUUUUAAAGUGUUUGGUAUUUUAUUUUUGUAGAAAGAUCUUAAUUAAUAUGCAACAGUUUAUCAACUCUUAAAACAUCUUAUCGGAGUAAGAGCUUAUCGGUUGUUUAAAAUAAGCUCAUCCAAACGGAACCUAAAUAGAAAACUAAAAAUCUGUCUUUUUUUUGCUUAUAUAGUAUGAUACCAUAAUUACAAUCGUCGUACGUAACCAAAAAAACAUUGGAAAAUAAUAAGCAAUCCAAAGAUGCACAUUAUCGUGCCUCUUAUUAUGCGCAUGUCUUUCGACUCUCAAUACAAUGAAGAUCGAACAAAUCCCGUCUCCAAGUCUCCGACCGAUUCUCUUCUUCGAUUGGCCCGAAAUAUAUUUGGGGCGGGCUGCUUUGAGUAAAAUAGUUAGCUCGCCACGGCCUUGAAGAUAGCAAGGCCCAUCCAUAUAAAUCUCAAAAUUGGGCCGGGCUCGAAAAUGUCUGACCAAAAGCCCAAUUAGAAGGGACAACAUUUAAAAAUGUUUUAACUAUACCAUCAGUUGUGGUCACCAUGAACGAAAUUGAUUGGCCAUUAAGAAAAGAAUUAGAUUGCCAAUUAGCACCCCAAUUUCUUGACAUAGGCAUCCACCCUGUUUUCGGGCCCUUGAUUUGUACGGAUUGUAUGGAUCCAGCAUUUCCAACGUUUGUUAUCAAGACUAACUCAAAGUAAUCCCUCCCACUUAUCGUAAAUCUAACUCCACCAUGUUUCUUGCAAGGAACCCUGCAAUAAAUAACCAUCAGUUUAUAAAAAUAUUUUUGCUCGAUAUUAUCUAUGACUUUAAAAUUUUAAUAAUUUAUUAAAUUCAUUUUUUUCCUCGUUUACUCUUAUCAAUUCAAUUCUAUUAAGAGUUAAAAUUCUCUUACUACAUUGUUAAACUAUAGGGUUUGGUUAUUUUAGUCUAUUUUCUGUAUUUUUCCUAAAAAAAUGUCAUAUUUAUUAAAACCAUUAAUAUUUAGGUAAGCUGAAAAGUGACCCUUAAAAAGAAUGAGGAAGUGUCUAUCAAUUCUUAUCAUAAUUCUCAACAAAUCAUUUUUUUUUAUUAGAUUUAGAGAGUUCAUUGCAUUUUUUACAAGCAUGUUAUAUUGAAUUGCUAAAAACUCCUCGUGUAAUAAAUAUUAGCAAAAAACUUCAAAUGAUGCUUUUUCUUGGCACAUAACUCCCAAGUAAAUAGAGCGUCUAAGGAAUAGUUUUGCUAACAACAUUUGAACCAUAGGGUAGAUUUGGUUAAUAUUUAUUACACAUGGAGUUAGUUGACAAUUAAAAUAAAUAUAUGGGUGGUAAAUGCAAUAAAUCCUAGAUUUAUAGCAAGAGUGAGUAAUAAAGAGUACAUACCUUUGGUAGAUGACGGGGACAAUGCCGCCUCUGUAAAUGCCGAUUUUUUCCCAGGCGGGCUGAGCCAUGUCGAAAUGCUGACGUGGAGGGUUGCACCACCCGCCGUUGUCGCUAGGAAGGUCAAAGUUCGGAGGGCAGAAGUUAGUGGCGGUGACGGUGACAGACACACCUUUCUUACACCACUGAGGGUCAGAAUUGUAAUCACACAUUAUCUUGAAGCAUUGACCACACGAACCUCCGUUGUUGAACAGUGCUGUACUCAGCGCUGCAGUUCUUGUACCAUACCCAGCCGAGUACAAGUUUCCAUACCCACAAGCACCCCCUAAUUAUUAUAUAUAUCCAAUUAAAAAGUACUAUUAUUUUUAUUUUUCAAAUAAUCAAAAAAUAAAUAAAUAGAUAAAUAUGUAAAUUUAACUUACCCAUUGUUCCAGAAGCAUCACUGCCUCCGUAGAAAGUUGCAUGAGCCUGAGUCCAUCCAGAGGCUGUGAGUGCAUUAGCACUAAUGAUGAAAUAACUUAAUCCAAUUGUGAUUAUCACUAAUUGUAAUAACAAAACUCCACUUUUAGACAUAUUAUUCUUUCUUUUUCUUAUUGGAGAAGACAGAGGAAAAAGGUAGUUGAUGUAUGAUCGAUUUUAUUGCAAAAAAAUAACAAGAUUUGUGUAGGUGUUAUAUAGGUGACAUAUUAAAGAGCAAAGAAACCUCACAUGUGACAGCAGAAAAGCUACAGCAUUUAAAAUAAAUAAAAUAAUAAUAAAUAGUAAAAUAAAAAUUGAAUUAUAUCAUCUCUGAGAAGUCUGAAUCUAAUUCAAUUAUUCCCACGUUCUCUCUCUCUCUCUCUCUCUCUCUCUCUCUCUCUCUCUCUCUCUCUCUCUCUCUCUCUCUCUCUCUCUCUCUCUCUCUCUCUCUCUCUCCUCUCUCUCUCUCUCUCUACAUUACAAAAUCCCACAUGGGAUCUCUCUCCAAACAGAGGAGCCUUGAAUGGAUCAAAUUUCCACAAUCAAAUUGCUUCAUUUCUGUAAAUAAUUUAAAGAUUAAAUCCACUAGAUAAUAUUAAAUACCUUUUAAUUAAUUAAUAAUUUGGCAAACAAAAAAAUAAAAGUAGACAAAAUAUUGUUCGGCUAUAGCAUGUGCUUAGUUUGGCUGCAUAUGUACACACAGUCACAUUAUUUUCAUGUGCAGACGCACAUGCAUGCAUGCAUGCCUUUUCACAUUAUAGGAUGACACGUUGUCAUUAUUAAUCCUGUCUUAAUGCAAUUAUAUCUAACCCUAAUCAUAAGUAGAAUCAUUUAUAGAGGUCAAAGUAAUAUUCCCUCCAUUAAGUGGUAAAAUAUAUAUAUACAAUGAAUCUAAUUAACUAGUGCAUAUAGAAUUAUUUGAUUGCAUCAUAUUUACUUUUAAGGAUAAACUAGCUAUAAUUUCAUUACAAGGAAUUUUGAAGACACCAUAAUUUUAAUGCAGAGUCACAUGUGAAGAUACCAGCAUCUAAAGUCAAGACCAUUAGGGAAAUAAAUUAUUAUCAUUUAUCAUUUAAUAAAUUAAUCACCACAUGCCCAAUCAUUGGAAACUCAUUUAGGUGAAAAUUAUUAUUAUUAUUAUUACCUCAUAAUUAAUUAUUAAGAAACAAUUAAUAACUUGCCACAAUCAAAAUCAGACAUCCUCAUAACAAUUCCAACACUAAACCUAGACAUAAACUUCUUCUUCAGAAAGUCGAUCACUACACCAUCACUCUCUUGUACCAAACCAACCAAAUAAGCUGCACUAAUUAGACUAAAGCUUCUCCACCUCCUCUGGUUCGAAAACUUCUGGCGACCCAUUUUCGGCUUUUCACAUUCUUCGUCGUCUCUUUCGUUUUUCGUCAACAAAGCUUCGGCUAAACAUCUUGCAAGAACGACACUGUCUUCCAAAGCCGAACAACCUCCUUGACCUAAAUCAGGUGUCAUAGGAUGUAAAGCGUCACCGAUUACACAAACGUUGUUUUUCACAAUGUCCCCCGUAAGAAGAUUCCAUGGGGAUCUUUGUCUUAGAUGAGCAUAUGAGAUGCAAUCCAGUGUGGUUCGCUCCACCACAUCGAAUACGUCUUCCGGUGCAUCUUUUAUGCUGCUCAGCACAAAUUGCUUCAUUUUCAGGGGAUUAUUCUCAUUUUCAUCAUCUGUUUGCAUAUUAUUAAAGGAUAUUGUUAAAACGGGAAUUUUUAAAUCAGCGAAAAUCAUAUAUAUAUGUAUGUAUAUAUACCGUUGCUUACAUUUAAAGAGUGAAGGAGAGAAAGUGCAAAACCAGUAUAAACUCUUGUCAUCGCAGGGUACAAAACCAUAGCGUACACCCCCACCAAAGUAAGCAUGGAACUUCGGUUCGUAACCAUGGUUAGUUGGGUAGACAACAUAGCCUCUAAUUGCUGAUCUCCCGGUGUUAAUCGGAUCCUUAAGACCCAACCAUUUCGCCACCAUUGAGUUGACUCCAUCGCAUCCAAUCAACACCUUCAAUUUGGAACCCCCAAAAAAAUAAUUAAUUGAAAAAUUUCAGCCGUAUUUUCUUGGCAAGAAUUUGAAGUCUACCUUGGUUCGAAAAACGGAACCAUCUGCAAGGUGCAGCAAUUUGAAGUUCCCUGAUUCUUCGAUGGAAACAAUUUUCGAAGAAUAUCUGACGGUGCCUUGUGGCAACUCUCUCUCUAAAGUUUCUAACAAGUCUUUUCUUCUCACGCAACGGAGUUCAGUCUUGCCACUGCAUAUAUAUCAAGUAUGUUAUUAUAUGUCUUUUUUACUUUAUUUUUAAAGUUACGCUGUAAGAAACUACGAUCAUAUUGACAUCAUAAUAUAUGUUCGAGAAAAUUAACUAUUGAAGUUUCAGCGAAUCUAUAAGGAAACUUACGAGUUGAGAUUUGAGUUGGGGCUUGGCUCUUGGCUAGGCAGGUUCGAAUUGAACGAACUAAUUUCAAAACUAAUUCGAAAAAAAAAAAAAAACCGGUAAGCACGGCAAUUAAAACUGAGAUAUUUUACAUUAUAGGUAAAAUCAGUUCAACAUUUUGCAAGAUAUUUGUCGAAAUCAUACGCUUGAAUUUGGAGAGCUGUUGCCCUAAGCACAUCUCCAAUGCCAAGAGCAUCGAGUGCCCUCCACGCGUUUGUCCACAUGGCAAGCGCGAACCCCGUUAAUCUUAAACUCUCCGAUGAUUCCAAUACCAAACUCCGAAUUCCGAACCUAAAAAUUUAUUACACAAAAAAAUAUAAAAUUAUUAAAAAAAAAAUCAACACCGAUGAUAUUAACAUACCUGUGAAGUCCCAAAGCGGUAGCGAGACCGGCUAUGCCAGCUCCGACUAUGACAAUAUCUUCGUGGAAUUCCAUGUACACGUGUGACACAGAUUCGUUACAGACAAUAAUGGAAAGAAGAUGAUCAAGAGGUAUUGGAGUUGUGCCUUUCAAAAAAAGAGAGGAUAAGAUUUUAUAGAGUUAAAAAGAAUGGCGGGACCUCUGUUUUUGGUUGAUGACGGAAGGAAGUACGUCAUUCUUUUUGACUGGAAAGAAGACCCAACUGAACUUGAGUAGCAAGGAAAUGUGUAUCCACCUUCUAAAGCAAUCCCACUAUCCCCAAUAAGAUUAAAAUAUAAGUAGGGUUCUGUAAUUAGUGUUUCAUUUCAUCACCAAUUUUGUAUGUGUCUAGUAUAUAUAUAGUAUUAAUCUCUUGGAUUUUAUUGAAGAUAUUUAUAUAAGAAAUAAAAUAUUAACUAUAAACAGAGUACCAUAAUUUGAGGAAUUGUAUUGUUUCUUUUUUACUGUAACUAUAUAAUAAUAAUCAUAAUUAUACUAACAAUAUGAAUAUCGAUUAUCAAACACGACGAUCAUCCCGACAUACAAAUUAAAGAAUGUGCUGCUCUCCAAUCAAGUGCAACGCUUGAUUAACGCAACGAACCAAACUAUAUCGAAGCAAAAGAAAACAAAAAGGCUUACCACGCACCAGUACGCGGUCCAUGUUAGUCUAUGAUGAUUACAAAUGAUAACAUUAACAUGUUUCCUACUGUUAACUCUAGCAACAUCUAUGGAGGAAAUACAUAGAACGAAGAAAGAAAAAACGAAGAAGAGCAGACAUCCGCCAUCAACUCAUUCAGCAACUAAGCAGCAUCUCCAGCAGUAGUAGCAUUCACCGGUUCAUUAGACCUGAAUCCACGACCCCUGCCGCGUGGCCCCCUCCCACGACCACGGCCUACACCAAAAGAUAUCCACCAUUUACGGCCAAAUAUAUUAAUUACCCAAUAUACCCCCCAGAGUUUGUUGAAAACAAAUGGAGCAAUGAGAUUGAUAAUUUUUUUGCCAGUAUAUAAAAAAGGAUUAUCAAAGCAAUUAAAAUCUAAAUGAUAAAUUAUUUCGACGAAAUUCAUCUUUAACAAAAGUUUCCUAGAUUUUUCUACCCAAAAAGAUCCUAUUUUAAUAAAUAUCGUUAUAAAUAAUUGAAAUAAGAAGGCAGUACCACGAGGUGCUUCUUGAUUGUAGCCUCCAUCAUCAUUCUGUGUAUCGAACUGAGGAUAGUAUUCGCCUCUUCCACGGCCACGGAAGCUGCGGCCUCUACCCCUACCCCUCGAAUACCCACGGUUUCCCUCAUAGCCUCCAUCUUCAAACUCACCAUUUGCAAAUCCAUUUCCUACAAUGAAAUCAGAGCAGAAGUUAAUAAUACUUGAAAAAUAAUGUUUAAUUUUAAUCUAAAUUAGAAAAGAAAAAAGAAAAAUAAAUUAGCAAGAUUCAUACCGGGUGGGCCUCUAGGCCUCCCCCUCCCUCUACCACCACGGCCUCUUCCUCGGUUGCGAGGUGAACCCUCUGCACAAUUAAAACAUGUCAAAAUGUAUGCCUUGCUGGAAUUUAUGAAGAAAAAUAACAGGAAUCAGAAAAUCGGAAAACACACCACCCCCAUCAUAGUCGAGCUCUGUAGGCACCUUCACUUGGUCAGCUGGUAUGGGGGGUUGGUACCUAUAGCACAUAACUGACCAUCAAUAAUCUUUCCAAUCUAUUAGGACAAAUAGCAGUUUACAGAUUAAAAAACAGAAUAGUGAAGACUUCACUAUUUAAUUUCUACAAGAGGUUCCUCGAAAAAGUUGAAAGACAUUUCAAUUUAAGUGAUUGUGAUUAUUUGCUCACAAUGUAUUACCACAAAAAAGAUAAUAUAAUCUAUAAAAAAAAAAUGAUAUCAGCAAGAACUCACCCAAUAUUUUUCGUAUCCAACUCCUUUUUCGAGAGAGUUAUCGUGACCAUCGAUACUUUCCUUGUUGUUUCCAGACUGUAACAAUUAGAAAACAAUGUCACAAACGCCAGUAAUAUUUGUCCGACACACGAAAUUUUGGGCCAGAAAAAAUAUCGUAAACUCCAUUGUACAGACAGUGUGAAGUGCUCUUACAUUUGGAGGCCUUCCUCCAGAGGUUCCCAUGUGUCAGUUAUAUCAGUCGAUUGAAUUGCCGUAAUUUGGUGAAGAUCAGCAAUUCUCCUCUGAAUUAAAAACUUGAGGAAUAAAGAUUUGCAUAUUGCCAGCUAAUGGAAAAAAAUAAAAGAAUAAAUAAAUAGGAAAACCUUGAUCAACUCCACAAUUGUUACAGUUUUGUUGAUGGCUCUGCCCAUUGCCUUGAAUACUAUUUCAUCUGAACCCUUCUCCUACAACCACCACAUAAAAAAAUCUAAAAUUAUCAAAUACUCUAAGGUAUCUGCUAGAGAAUCACCCGUGCGGCCAUUCCAUAUUAGAAUUAAAUUGACUAAUCAGGUUAUUGGUGGAAUAUAAUUUGCGGUUAUAUCAGCAUCUGAUAAUGCAAUACUAAAUUUCAUGCAAAAUUUACGAGUCACUUUAGAACGUAUAACAUGAGAGCAGCACACCAGCAACAUUCAAUCAAGAGAAAUCGAAGUAAUAUAUAAUACGACAGAUGAAAUGCUCUUCUCAGUAUCAUCAUCUUCUUACAAGUAUUUCACGAGUGAGUGUCCGCAAUCAACAUUUUUACCUCCGAGAUAUUAUAUACAUCUAAUAAUCAUUUAAAAAAAAACAGCCACAGAAAAAAAUCAAGUGAACAAAAUACAGACUAAUUAAUCAAACAAUUUUUCUUUAAACAGAUCAAUAGUCAGUAACCACUAACCAGACUCUAAAACACAUCAAUUCAUAAUUUCAUACACAGACUCUUGAACAAAUUAUAUGCAAUCCCACACACACAAGUACACGUGAUGAAAACACACACACACACACACACACACACACACACACACACAUAUAUAUACCUGAAGCAGAGUCAUGGCGUAGGUGAUGUAGCUUCUCAUCCUGCCUUGGCUUGUAAUCCGAAUUUCAUUCUCAUCAAUUGGCGUAUCCGCCUUUGGCUUCUCUACCUUCUGGUACCGAUCCAUGCUCUACAAAAAUCCGAAAUAAAUCAGUAAAUUAAUUAAAUUAAACGCAAAAAUAAAUAAAUUACGAAGAAAACAAAUCAGUAAAUCCACCAACUAAAAAAAACACUGAAAAAAAGCAGUGGUUUAACUUUAACCGGCGAAGAUAAGAGCAGGAGAUCUGCAAUUAAUGAUUGAAAAAUAAUUAAAUAUGGAAUUACUCACAUAGAAAUACCGAAGUGAACGUAUGUGUACGGAAGGAUAAGAUUAUAUGCGCUCUUCUUCUCCGGCUUCGUUUGUUCGUUAGGCACUGACCGCUUUAGUUGCGUAUUUCUCGAAAUUUAUACUAUCGUUCCGAAACUGUGCCCUAGUUCAUUUUAACCGGUCCAGCCAUCUGCUCUUGUUUUUCAUCUCUCUCCCGUUUUUUUUCAAUUAUUAUAUUUUUUAUCUUUUUCUUUUUUUAUUGAUUGCAAGUUAAUUAGGAUAAGACGAUAUAUUUUGUAAGAAGCUGCGUACUUGGGAAAUCUAAACAAACUGCUUUUUGCUUUUCGGCUGAAAUAAAUAAUUUACUUUUCAAUUAAUUAAUGGAAAGUGUGCUAUAAUCUUUGUAGUAAUUAUGUUAUAAUUUACUUUCAUAUUCUAUGGUCAAAAUGGUGACCUUUUUUUUUUUAAAUUAUGAAUUAUUACAAAUUAUUAUAAUAAUAAUUAUUAUUAUUAUUAAUUUACUUGAGCAAACUUCGCAAAUACCUAGUCACUCAUAUUUAAAAUAAGUUAUGAACAUCAAUAUCUUAUAAAUAUACUUAAGAUUCUAGAUAUUAUUUUUAAAAUAAAUUAUUCUAGUGAUUAUCAUAAAAUAAGACUGCAUAGAUUGUGAAAUGUUAAUAGUUGAUUUUAUAAAAAAUAAUAUGGUCAAAAUUAAAGAGUUUCAUGAGAUUUUAUUGAUAAUCUAGGAACAGUUUAUAAUUUUCAAAAAUAGCUUAUAAGCUCCUAGCUGCUUAUUUAAUAUGCAUAUAUCUUCUAUUAAUAUACCUACGGCUCACUUUACUGAACGGCUUCCCACUUCCAAAGAACAAUUGAAUAUUUCAGUAAUAUUACAGUUUAGACCACAACAAUUUACAAGAACAAUAUAAGCUUACACCUUUAUGUUUUUAAGUUACAAAAAAGCCCUCCCUCUCUCUCCUCUGUCCUAGCAGUUCUCAUUCUGAUGAAGCAUGUCAUGUACAGACAAACUAUAAUGGUUAAAUCAAGAAAAAGAAUUCCCAGGUAAGUGACUCUCAGAAAGAUACAAACGUUAAUCACAAAAUUCGUAGCUGCAGAAACUUUGUGCAGUCGCACUAUUAGUUGAAGGAAGAACCUUUCACAUUUAUCUCCUGCAAGAAAUUUGUCCAGAAUUGGUUAUACAUUCAUUAUAGCUAUAGUAAUUAGGCCUUAUUCACCAACUUUACGGAUCAUGUCAAAUAAAAUUAGGAGAAAAAGAAGAAUCAUAAGCUCCUUGUGUAACAAAUAUAUCGAGUAUUAACCAAGUAAUGAAGUGGGUUUUAAGUCUUAAUGUGAGUACCGCAUAAAAGAGAAAACCGAAAGCCCAGAAAAAAGAAUUAAUUCAUAUCAUGAUUAGAUAUCAAGUUUACCUAGACUUUGUAUUCACCGACAUGCAUCCACUUAGUAGACGACCACUUAUUCCCAACGAUGACAGGACAACCCCCUGAAGUCAAACAAGAUACCAGUAUAAUUAGGAAACUAAAAGUAAACCAAGGCAAGGGAUCGAAAAACAAGCAUGUGGACUUGUGCGCAAUACUUAGGAAGAACGUAUAUAACAUAAAGACUUGAUUCCUCAUCCAGCAUUAUUUAUUUUUUUGGGUUUUGGGGGUAAAUAAAAUAAGGGGAUCAAAAUAAUGGAAAAUGGGAUACAAAUUAAACCCACCAUGCAAGCUUGUUGGAUCUAGAGUAGCAUCAGGCCGCAUACUCCAGAAAAGUAGUGCAUCACCCAUUUUUGGUUUGACAGCAAGGCCUCUCUUAGCACACUCGGACUUCUCAUUCCACCCUGGCACAGUGCUAAAAUUGCCCUUUGCAGCAGGGAAUAUUGUCUCGCCGCCUUCUUCAACAUCAGACCUACAUUAGGUGCAUUAUUUCAAAUUAACAAUCGUAAAACUAGAUACUGUGGAACCGUCAAUACAUUGGUACAGUACUUACAGAUACAUAAGCACAGUAGCUAUGCGUUGACCCCCAUUUUUUGUGUUGAAAUCAUCAAGAAAGUAGUCAUAAUGAGGCUCGUAUUUUUGUCCCACUUCAUAGUGCAGAACUUGUAGACCUUCUCCGUGCUCUGUAAAUUACGUCUAAACAUAAUCAGGUCACAUUUGCAGAGAGCAGCAUAAAAUAGAAAAUAGAGCACUCCGAAUCAUGUUAUAGGGUAAGAGAAGAGCCACAUGCAAAAAUAGAGAAUGCUGAUUUUUUUUUUAAUUAAGCAGCAUAUCAGUUGUUUGACACAGAAAUACAAUGCGGUCGUUAAGUACAAAUAUACCAAUAACCAAGGUAUAUCGUGCUUGUUAGUCAAAUAGAUUUUUCCUGGUAUUUACCUGACAGGCAUAUAGUUCGUGGGCAUACUUUAAGAUAUCGAAUUUGUAUCACUACCAAUGCACUCGUAUGAAACAAUAGAUUUUCCAAAGCCGUGCACUACUUUGUUAGAAUAGGUCAGAAAUUUUGACAACCAGAGACCAACAUUACCAAAGCCAUACAUCUUAUAACCUUCAACAAAGUGCGAAUAUAAUCUGAAUGCCAAUGUACUUAAAUUUCCAUACCUGCAGGUAUAAAAGUGUAAUCUGCUAUUCUUUUUUCAAUAUCUUUAAUGACUUUAUCUCGUCCUCUCCUCAAAAACAUUCCAGAACUUGUACGAACCCUGAAAUGUGGUGUCACUUCUUUAAAUUCAAAAACAAAGAUAAGAGAAUGGCAGUAUUCUGAAGCCAAUUCUUUAUAUAUUCAGCUGAAAUACAAGACCAUAAAUACCAGAAAUAGAGAUAGAUCAGAUCAACAAACCUGCUAUCUUUACUCUUGCCAGUCUUGCUAUCAACCACUGUCGAUUUUACCAUGUGAGGUCUGGCAAGAUUUAUCAGAUACUCACAUUCUUCCUUAGACUGUCAAUAAAAUAGUUAGUUACAGAAAAGUUUUAUGUCAAAUCAGCCAGAACAUGUGCAGAAGAUAGUAGCAUCGGAAUGUAUUCUUGAACCAUUUAGUUUAAAAUAAGACAAUUUCCAACAAGUUAUUUAAGAAAUGAUCUCAAUCCAAUUUAUAAGGUACAAAUUCAAGCCAAAAUAACAUACAUUUCUUAUACAAGAAUAUAACAUACAAAUUUUAGGGAACAAGCAUCGCAGUAAACUAUUCCGCCAAGAUGAUUAACUACACCAUUUCAUGGAGCACAAUGACUGUUUUCUCUCUCAUUCAAUUAUUAUCUGGAAUCAAGCUCAAAAGGGAGUUUGGAGUUCAAAACACAGUGUGCUAUCAAUGGCUAAUUGAAUAAAAUAUGGAAAUGGCUUAUAAGUUUGAAAAAUUAAGAUCGUAUUAAAAUUCCAUUUCUCCAUGAGCAAACUGUCAUUCAAUAUUCUUCUAAUGAAAAGUAACAAUUCACGUCGACACAGAAAGUUAUAUCUAAUUACCUCUAGAAUGACAAUUUAGAUCUUCGAACUUCAAAUGUAUGAAGGGCCAUAAUUUUGUAGGUAUCGUGGAAAGGGGAGAAGAAAAGAUAAAUGGAUUUGUUUGUUAAGCUUUGAAGAUAUUGGUUCCCUAAACAAUUGGUUAACGGUGUUACGACAUAAUUAGUGACGGUGUUAAAUGGAUUUUCAUUACCAACGAGCCAAGACAAACCACAUCAAUGGAAAACAAAUAAUGGUUAACCACAUCAUCAAAAAAACCCGAAAAGCGUAAACAUACUCGAGCAAUUUGAGCUCUUGUAUGCAUUCUACUUCCUAAAAACAAUCAUCAUACUUCAACACAAAGUAAUCGAAUUAGGCAAUACCAGACAAAUCAAAAGGGAACAAAACACAUAACCAAAUGAAACUCAAUUACACAAUUAUCAAACUCAAGAUCAAAACAAAAGCAUUAAAUAGAACAGAUUUAAAAUCGAAACUCACCAAAAAGUUAUGAUAGACGAAAGCCCUAGGCUCCCAGGAAAGAACCUCCGUCCACUGAUCCCCUCUUUCCCCCAAUCCAUCUCCUUCACUUUCACCUUUUCUGCAAAAUUAAUACAAAUAAAUUAUAAAAAAAAAAAUCAAUCGCCACAAGUCACGAAUAUGACAUAGAAAAAAAGCUUACAUGUCAAUGGUCAAUCGCUUCAAUUUAAUUCGCUCUCCGAUCGGCGAAGAGUCUUCAUCGGAGCCAACGGGGAGAGAGACGAUUCCGAGGCCGAGAAGCAUCAAGAGAACUAUUGUCAGCAUUAAUAGCAUCGAUAGAACCAGAACCACCGUCGACGAUCUCUUCCCUUGAUGCCGACUUCCCCUCCCCUUCGCCAUUUUAAUUCUCUAAAUCGAAAUUAAAUCAAAACCCUAACAAAUAAUAAUAAGAUACAGUCGUACAGAUUUUGUCUGGGGCUGAAGAAAUUUGGCCUGUGAAUUCUCUGUUAAUGUUAUUCAAUGGGGGUGGAAGAAGUUGAACUGAAAAUGUGAAAUUACAGAACGGACUGAAUGAAUUGACGGUGAUUAAGGGGUAUUUCUGACACUUCACAUUUCCCCUCUCUUUUUCUUUUCUUUUCUUUUUUCUUUUUUAAUUAUUAUGAUCAUAUAACCUGAUUUCAUAACACAUGCACCAAAACAAUACUAGAUAAAUAUUAAAUUAAAUCGUAACCUAAACUAUACAUAAUUAAUUCUAAUCUAUUUCAGAACCUGAUUUCAAUAAUAUCUGUCAUUGAUUUCGCGAUGUGAUAAACGUCGUUCGAGCCUUAAUAAUACCGUUUCGACUUCAAACGUGAUUUUGAUCAUUUUUUAUUUCAAAUUUUGCAAAACCCGAAAAAUAGGAUUUGUAGUAUUUUGAAUUAGUUUGCUAAUCCAACUUGAAUCACCAAAAUUGGAUGUCGGACGAGAAACAUAUACAUGAAUCAAUGGAUAUUGCUCACGACUUUGAUGUAUUGAGGAUCUAAAAUUCAAAAUUUGACUCAAAGGAUUACAAUUUUCGUGUUUCAAAUUUUGCCUAAAUCAAAAUAGAAAUAUAUCAAAAUUAGGUUCGAAGUCAAAAUGGUAUUAGUAAAAUUGAAACUACAUUUAACAUUUCAGUUUAUAAUAUAAUAAUUCUAAUUCAAAAAAUUAUGAGAAUUUUAAUUAUGGCCCAAUAAAUUACAAUUUUUAACUUUUUAAAAUGUUCGUGUAUAAAAUACUGAAUAACUUUCAUGGUAACUUUGCCUGUAAAAGACGUACAUUAAAUAUAUUUUUGCCACCAUACAUAAUAACUACAUAAAUAUACAAUUUCAUUUGAAUUUCUUACAAAUGUCCUUUGUCCAAUUUGAUGUGGGAAAAAAAAAAGCAAUUUAAUUCACAUCGCCUCAUUUAAUCUUUGAAUUAGCUCAUAAAUACUACACUAAUGAAUAUUCAUCAAAUCAAUAUGUCGGUGCUACAUGCAUAUAGAACAAAACACACAUUGAGAUGUUCGGGUUUGGUCCGACAAAAAUCCUCCAAUGCUCAAGUCAUUGCUUAACAAAAUUUGAGAAAAACGAUUAAGAAUACGUAUAAACUUAAAAAUAAAAAAUAUAUAAACAAAAGUUUAGAAAUAUGGGCCGAAAUCGUACAAAAUAUGGGCCGGAGUCGUACAAAUACAUUAAAUAAAGCCCACAAAAUAAUUUACUUCACAUUGGUCUCUCCUUUAAAUUGGACCCACUAUGGGUUUUGACUUUUGAGUAACACGAUUUUAUUAAUAAAAUAGUAAAAUACUAAAUUACUACUUUUUAAUUAUAUUACUAACUAAAAAUAAAUAAUAAUCCUUUGUCAUGCUAUAAAAAAAUAAAAAAUAAAUUAGACGUUGAUUAUCGAUAUACAAAGGCCAAUCAAAUUUAUGAAAUGAGGCUUAUAAUAGUAUAAUAUUAAUACAACAUGUCAAAGUUGACAAUCUCUCGAAGUUAAGCGAAAGGGAGUUUUCAUCCCAUAAGUUUGUAUUGAUUUCGUAUUUGGUUUCUCAUGUUGACAAAAAAACACGUUUGGUCCAUCAUGUUUGAAUAAUUUAACAUUUUCGGUCAUUUUUGUCAAUUACCAUUAAUCCUUGAGUUAAAGCAGUGACGAACACACACAUAAUUGCAUUAGUACUAAUAGAAAAUUGACGAAAAUAACUAAAAAUGUUACAUUUUGAAAACAUCAAGGAUUAAAUGUAAAAUUGAUGCAAAAUUGAAUGACGGAAAUUAAAUUGUAUUUUUCCAUUAAACAAAACAUACAAAACUCUUUCACAUGCAUACAUGUUCAACAUAUGGCAGGCGUGGGAGAUCUAGCAAACUUAAUUCCCACAUUGUAUAUUUAUAAAAUAAAACAUUUCAAAUAAUAGUAAUUUGUCACAUUCGUCUUAUCUUCAAUCCAAUCCACGUGUUAAUUUUAAUCUUCUUUGUCCGUCUAAUAUGACUCGUGUGCAUGUUAUUAUUUUGAUUAUUCUACGGAUUCCCAUAAAUUAAUAUUGCUUAGAUUGGAUUUAAUUUAGCCACGAGAUUUAGACAUUUUGAACUAGUAUUUAGGUCGGCACUAAAUACUAAUUAGCCAAUCAACUUGCGUGUUAUUUAUUUAUUUAUUAAUUAGCUUUAGCAAUAGUGUAUAAACUUCGUUUUACUAAUUCAUAGUACCGCUUGACCGGUUAUCUUUUUAUUUAAUUUUUCAAUUUCUUUUAUGAAGUAGUCAAUUUUCGCUACCCUAUUUUGAUCAUAUUCUUUUAUUUUGUGGCUAUUAUAAAUUAUAUUUUAUAUACACACAUAUUUUACACGCACUAACACACGCAUGUGUGUGUUUUUUGUGGGCAUAUAUAUUUGACUCUGAACCGAAAAAAAUAAAAAAAAAAUCAAAUUUCUUGGAUAGGUUCUAAAAUGGAGAAGCCGGCCGCAACAAAGUCAAAGAACAAGAUUAUGAAGUUUCUACCAAAAGCGGUGUCGUUUCAGAAUAUUCCGUUCAGUCCCCGGCGAGAUUUGAGGGCCGAUGUGAAUUCGCACAGAGUGAAAGCCCUUCAGAACAAGGGUUUCUCCGGCCCGAUGAUUCCGGCGGAAGCCCGGCGGAAAUCGAAGAACUUCGAAACACAAGAACCCACUUCGCCGAAGGUGUCGUGCAUGGGGCAAAUCAAGCACAAGAGCAAGAAGAGCAAGAGUAACAAGAUAUCCAAACAGAAACACGUUUCUUUGCCCAAGGAAUUCAAGCCUGCGGAAACCCGCAAAAUUAGGGCCGCGGCGGCGGUUCCGGCCGCGGAGAAGAAGGAGUCGGGAAUCAAGAAGCUUUUCGGCGCCGGAAGGAAAUCCGAUGCGUCGAUUGAUUAUAAGAGGCCGCCGAUUUCUGAAACGGCUCCGAGCCUGAACCAGAUGAGGAAAUUCGCCAGCAGCCGCGACACGUUCGCGAAUUUUGAUUGGACGACCGCUCAAAUUGCGCCGGAGGAGGAAGACCGGGGAUUUUACUCCGACGACAGUGAUGAUGACGUCAUCAUACCUUUUUCUGCGCCGAUUCUGAUGGCUGGAGCCGGUGGUGGUGUGUUCGGCUUGGAUUUGGAGCCGAGGAAGGAGAUCAACUUGUGGAAAAGAAGAACUAUGGCUCAGCCCAAGCCGAUAAUAAUGUAAGCUAAUGGUUUCGGUUCGGUUUCGAUUCCAUUUCCGAGUUUUUGGUGAAUUUCCGUAAAGCAUUUUAUUGUAAACGAGAUACACAUACAAUGAUACGAAUAGAUAUAUGUAUAUGUACAUGUAUAUACGAUUAAGUAGUGGUUUUUCAUUUUUUUUAAAUUCAAGUGUGCAAUUGUUUACUUGUGCAAAAUAUUAGUGUUCCUUAUACCACAAAAAUUAAUAUGAAGAAGAUGAUGCGUUUGAGGUUUGUAACAAAUCAAGAUAGGAAUCGGAAUUUCUUUUCAGAAAAAUAUUCAAUAGUUUAUGCCUAAGGCUAAAUGGAUUAUACUUUGAAAAUUCAUUUGGAAUAAACUGCAAAAAGUGCUCAUGGGUAAUCUCAAAAUGUUAAAAAUUUUCCUGUGAAAUUUAGUCAAAAGUAGAAAAUCCCCUAGUGCACUUUUGUGUUGCACACUCGUUACCGCCGGGUAAUACUAUCAGAUUUUUAUUUUCUUGAUUAAUUCACAUAAAGUAAUAUUAAUUCUAAAAAAACCAAUUUAGGCUUUGUGGUAGGUGGGCUAAAUUAAAAUAUCUUAGUGGACUAAAUAUAUUAUAUAUGGGCUAUAUAAGUAUAAAAUAUUGAAUUCCACAAAUCCAACGAUCACAAAAACUGUUGGCCCAAGGCCACGUUGAUCUUUAUAGAUUGUAACUUGCAAGCCCAGUUACCAUAAAAUUUACUAGCAAAAUAUUAUAAGUACGGGGGUAUUUAUGCAAAUUAUAAAGAUUUUAAUUAAUUGAAAGUAAAUAUUAAUGUACCCUUCCUUGCAGUUUGAUUGGAUUAUUAAAAAUAUUUACUUCAUUAAUUCCAUGGGUUGGCAAUUGAAAUCAAGUAAAUUAUUUUAAGGAAAAUUUGCAAAGUUUAUAUAAAAUAACUAAAUUUCAAUUGCUAAGGAAUUAUCAAUUAAUGAAGUCCAUACUUUAAAAUUUAAAUAAUCCAAUCUAAUUUCAAGGCAGGUUACAUUAAUAUAUAACUUUUUGAAGUCCAAGGUCGUUAAUUGCAUGCUCUGCUAGACUUUCUCUAAUUACUUGACUAAUCUUUUCUUGAUAACUAAAAAAUUAUGACGAUGCAAUAAAAUCAUAUUUUAUUCCAUUUUUGCCAGGUAAGCUCUCACAAUUUUUUGACUCGACGUACAUAUAUAUACAUAUAAAAUUCAAAAUCAUGUAGAUGUUCACACGUGUCAGCUUCCUAUAAAACUCCCAACCGCUCUCUCUCUCUCUCCGUAAACCACCUUCCAAAGCAGACGUGUUUAUUAAACAUUUUUCACUGUUCUAUUCGCCGCACCUCGGGCGGAGACACCAAGCAACCACCGCCGCGAUCUCCGCCCCGGUCGAAAAUAAAUCCCUUCGAGAAUGGCCGGCGAGAAUUCAGAUAACGACGUGAUAUACCUCCACGGGAAUCUAGACCUCAAAAUCAUCGAAGCCCGAUGCCUCCCGAACAUGGAUUUACUCUCCGAGCGCCUCCGCCGCUGCUUCACCGCCUUCGAUUGCCGGAAGCCUUUCACCUCCAAUCGCCGCCGCGAUCACCACCACCACCGUAAGAUCAUCACCAGCGAUCCCUAUGUCACCGUCUGCCUCGGCGGUGCCCGUGUUGCCCGAACCCGGGUCAUAUCCAAUUCGCAGAAUCCGAUUUGGAAAGAGAAUUUUAAGAUCCCUCUAGCUCACCCCGUUUCUCAGGUGAUUCAAUUAAAAAAUUUCAGAAAUUCGUUCAAUUAGAAUUUCAGUAAAUACAGAAUGCAUAUUGGGUGGUUGAUUAGUAAAGUGAUCGAAUUCAUUUGAAUUAUUAAAACCAAAAUAAUACAGGUUGAAUUCCAAGUGAAAGACAACGACAUGUUUGGAGCAGAACUCAUAGGUAUAGCCACCGUGCCAGCUAAGAGAAUCGCCGCAGGCCAAGUGAUCGACGAAUGGUUUCCGGUGAUAGGAUCCAACGGAAAGCCCUCAAAACCCGACAGCGCAAUAAGACUACAAAUGACAUUCACCCCUUGCCACAAAGAUCCCGUCUAUCUGAGUGGAAUUUCGGACAAUUACGGCCUGAAAGAUAGUUAUUUCCCAUGGCGGCACGGAGGGAAAUUGACCCUCUACCAAGACGCGCACGUGAUUGACGGAAUGCUGCCCGACAUCAAAUUGGACGAUGGGAAGAAUUUCGAGCACGAACAGUGCUGGGAGGAUAUUUGCCACUCGAUAUUGGAGGCGCAUCAUUUGGUUUAUAUCGUGGGAUGGUCGAUUUAUCAUAAGGUGAAGUUGGUGAGGGAGCCUACUAAACCGUUGCCAAAUGGCGGUGACUUGAAUUUGGGGGAGUUGUUGAAGUACAAGUCUCAAGAAGGGGUGAGAGUUUUGUUGUUAGUUUGGGAUGAUAAGACUUCCCACAACAAGUUCUUUUUAAAAACGGUAUGGAAUUUUGACUUUGAAAUGCUCGUCUUUUUUGUUGUUUUUUUGGCCGUCGGUAUGUAAGCAGGUUUUGGAAAGAUUACAGAGUUGAUUCUUAAUAUGGUUAAAAGGGUUAUGUGCCUCGUUGAUGAACUCCUAUUUCAUAUGAAAUGGAGUUAAUGAUUGACAUAAGUAGCAAAUAGUCGAUAAUGGCUUGGAUAGAUCACUAUCAUAUAAGAUUUCUGGUUUUCAUAUUUGGAUUUUUUUUAUUUAAAUAAAUGCAGAGAUUGAUCAGCCUUAAUGCACUAGAUGUUGUUAUUAAUGAUUGUGUCUUGUUGCUAUGUAUAUCUUUUAGAAAAAAUAUAAGUCGGACUAGUUUCAAUGCAGGAUGGAGUAAUGCAAACUCACGAUGAGGAAACUCGGAAGUUUUUCAAACACUCCUCUGUGACGUGUGUGCUGGCCCCUCGUUAUGCGAGCAGUAAGCUUAGCAUUUUCAAGCAACAGGCAUGCUUUAUUCUAUUUAACGAAUUACACAUCCAUUUAUGAUUUCAUAUAUUUUAAUUCUCGAAACACAAAACUGUCUUAUUAUAGUAACUGUCGUCGAUAAGUACUUGGACUUAUCGAAUCCAUGAAAUACUUGUUAAGUUACCACAGGCUUGUCGAACUUUAUGUCAUUGUACACUCCAUCUGAUUUCCUAUAAAAUAAGUCCUUCCGGCAAUGUUUGCUUAGAGCAGAUUACGGAAAUUACUUUCUUCCGGCAAUGAGAAUUUAUACUGUGUUUUUGUUCAGGUUGUUGGAACUCUUUAUACACACCAUCAGAAAUGUGUGAUUGUGGACACCCAACAUCAUGGCAAUAACCGAAAGAUAACGGCUUUCAUUGGUGGUCUAGACCUAUGUGAUGGACGCUAUGAUACACCUGAGCACAGAUUAUUCACCGACCUCGACACUGUCUUUAAAGAUGAUUAUCACAAUCCAACAUUUCCUGUAAGAAACUGCUCCACUUGAUAUCUCUCACUAAUUCGCAAAAAAAAAUAAAUUAUUUUUUGAACUCAUGAUUUGCGUUUAUGUUGAUCAAUAGCCAGGGAAAAAGGGCCCACGGCAACCGUGGCAUGAUUUGCAUUGUAAAAUUGAGGGUCCGGCGGCGUAUGAUGUGCUCAUAAACUUCGAGCAGCGCUGGAGAAAAGCCACUAAAUGGUCUGAAUUUGGACAGCGGUUUAGGAGAAUAUCACGCUGGCACGAUGAUGCCUUACUUAAGAUUGAACGUAUUUCGUGGAUAACAAGUCCUACCACAACUGUCCCGAAUGACCAUCCUUCUUUGUGGGUGUGCAACGAAAACGAUCCCGAGAACUGGCAUGUUCAGGUUAUGAUCGCCUUAUUAAAAGAUUUUAUUUUUAUUAUUAGUUUAUUCGAUACGAGGCAAUCAAGGCUUUAUCUUGGUUUUGUAAUUUGCUUUCAACAGAUUUUUCGGUCUAUAGAUUCGGGUUCGUUGAAAGGAUUUCCCAAAAAUGUCCAUGAAGCUGAAGAACAAGUAAUUCCCACACUUCGAUGUUAUUUUUAUGAGCUUCCUAUGUUUAUUGUCUACGAAUGAAUAAAUUUAAAAAUACUCCUUUGUUGCAGAAUUUAGUGUGUGCAAAAAAUUUGGUGAUCGAUAAGAGCAUUCAAAUGGCUUAUAUCGAGGCUAUUAGAUCUGCUCAACACUUCAUAUACAUCGAGAAUCAAUAUUUUCUUGGGUCGUCUUACGCUUGGCCUUCCUACAAAAAUGCCGGUAAGCUGCUUCUAAAAAAAAAGGGCCCAAAAAGGAAAAAAGAAAGUACACCCAAAACGAAACAUAACAGCUAACCAGUUAGAUUAGUUAACGAUCUUCUGAUUAACAAUUCUCAGAUAUCUUUUUCUUGCAUCCAUUUUACUUAAAAUCACAUGUUUAUAUUGUUAGGUGCCGACAAUUUAAUCCCGAUGGAAUUGGCAUUAAAAAUUGCAAGUAAAAUAAGGGCAAAUGAAAGAUUCACCGUUUAUGUUGUCAUCCCGAUGUGGCCCGAGGGUGUUCCCGAUUCUGCAUCUGUACAAGAAAUCCUUUAUUGGCAGGUAAAAUAUUUUUUAUUGUCAACAUUUCAAUUGUGAAGCAUUUUUCAAGAAUUGGUUUCUUUUUUUAUUAAAUCUAUAUAAAAUUGGAGUAACUAUUGUAGGGGCAAACAAUGCAAAUGAUGUACGAAAUUAUCGCACAAGAGCUCAAAUCUGCUAAUAUUGAGAACGCACAUCCAACCGACUAUCUUAAUUUCUACUGUCUUGGCAAUCGAGAGGAAUGUCCGGGAGACGAAUCAAAUUCUAACGGCCCAACCACAUCCAAUGGAAAUUCCGUAAUUGACCCUCUCUUCUCUUAGCAUUAGUGUUUUUGUACUUCACUUAAAUUACCAAGACUAUCUUAAGUAGUACUACAUUUAUUGAAUGGUGUUAAUUUUAAAAUUGAACUCAUGUAGGAUACGGCUUCAAAAAAAUACGGAAGAUUUAUGAUAUACGUGCAUGCGAAAGGGAUGGUAGUGGAUGAUGAAUACGUGAUUAUUGGUUCGGCCAACAUUAACCAACGGUCAAUGGCUGGUUCGAGAGAUACGGAGAUAGCAAUGGGGGCUUAUCAACCAAAUUACACAUGGACCAAGAAGAAAGAACAUCCACAUGGCCAGGUUUAUUUAGUUUUUGAUUUUACUAAAUAAAAGAAAGAAAACAAGAUCCUCGUAAAAAAAUUGAAAGUAAAUGUCGAAAAAUACGUACUUGCAGGUCUACGGCUACAGAAUGUCUCUUUGGUCUGAGCAUAUAGGCAGAAUCGAUGAUUGCUUCAAUAAUCCCGAUGAAUUGGAAUGUGUGAAAUACGUGAAUAGUGUUGCGGAGGAUAAUUGGAAGAGAUACACAUCUGAAGAGUUCAAUUUAUUACAAGGGCACAUCCUUAAAUAUCCGUUGGAAAUCGAUAUUGAUGGAAAGGUUAACCCUUUGCCCGGAUAUGAAACUUUUCCGGAUGUUGGUGGUAAAAUUAUAGGUGCUCCGACCAAUUUGCCGGAUGCUUUGACCACUUAAAAGAUAAUAAUUCACUCUAGCGAAAUCAUAGGUAAAAUGUAGUAAUACUUGGUGAGGAAGAGGAACUAAUGUUGUAACAUUACCGGUGGCCUUUGGCCGUGUUGUAUCAGUUCAUGUUCGAGCUUGUGUGGAUUCAGUGUUAAAUCAUUUUUGUAUAAUCAUUAUAUAGUCUAAAAGUGAUAAUUCUUUUAUUUGUUUGGUGCUCCGGCAUGAAAUUGAAUGGAAGAACAGAUGAAUUAAUACACAGAUUUUAUAGCAUCUCAUACAUGAAAACAAUUUUUUUUCACUUAUACAUUACAAUGUCGGAUAAAGGUACGCAAAAAAUGAGAUGAUUUAAAAUUCGGACACUCUAUUUAACGGUAACUUUUCCGACCAUACCAGCGCCUUGGUGGGGGGCACAGUAGAAAGAGUAGGUGCCUUUCUCGGUGAGAGUGACUGCGUAAGUUUCACCCUUGGCGUUGAGGUAGUCUUCCUCGUUCAUGGAGAUCUUUGCCACGUCAACUCCGGCGGGAACUUCGUCCUCGUCGAAGACGAUGUUGUGGGGGAAUCCGGCGUUGUUGCUGAACACGAUCUUCUCGCCGGCGGCGACCUCGAAGGUUUGUGGGAUGAAGGCCAGUGAGCCGUCGUCUCCGCCGAGGAGGACAUCGGCGGCCAAGGCGCUGCUGGCGAGGAUUGCGGUGGCGGCGGUGGCGGCGACGGCCACGCCGAAGUCCUUCAACGAGGCCUUGACGGAGAGCUUGGGGAUGGCGGCGGAGGUGGUGACGACGCGGGCGGUGGUGGGCUUGGAGGAUGAGGUGGCGCCGGACUUAAGUCCGGUGAACGAGGGAAUGGUGACGGCGGCGGAGGUGAUGGUGGCCAUUGUUUUGAAGGAUUGUGUGGUGGUGGUGGUGUUGCCGGUGAAGUAUUGGUGGAAAUCAAGAAAUGGAAGAGGGAGGAAGUUGGAAUUUAAUACAUGUGAUGGAGUAUUGUGUGUGGUGUGUGUUUUGUGGAGGAGUGAUUGGAUAGAUAAGGUGUGGAUUGUUAUCCACUAGGAUUGAUCUGAUUGGCUUAGCUGGAUACUAUCAUCUGACGUGGAAUUGGAUAUUUAGUAUGCGAUGUUGUACGAAACAGGGGAUGGAUUUUUUGUGGAACUGGGAAAAUUUGAGGUGGCUCUAAUUUGCAUUUGUUUUUUAUAAUGAAUAUAAUAAACAAAUGACAGCGGAGUUAAUAAAAGGAGAACAUAAAUUCGGCUUAGGGUGUAAUAAUCAGAUUUUGCUUCCAUUUCUUAUUUGAUUAUAAAAAAAUAGGCACAAUAAACAAAAGAACAAUUAGCAACAAAAGAAACUUACGAUCGUCACGGCUUGAAAUACCGAAAACAGAGUGCGAAAUACCGAAAACAGAGUGCGAGAGUCGGAAUGAGGUGAACAAGAAACUGAAGAGAAAAAAAGAUGUAAGGAUUUAUAAGAGAUUUGGAAGUACAUAUAUCAGCCAUUAGUAUAAGUGUAGUACAACAGAAAUGCACCAUUUGCCACAAAGGUAGUACUUACUGUACUACAAAUUCUUACCAGUACAACAACGCAAUAUUUUCUGUUUCGAACAUCAAACGAACAUUAAACUGUCAUAAUAAUAAAAUCCAAAGGCAUGAGUAAGUAGUUCAAAUCGAUAAAUUCUUUCUGAAAAUAAAAAUCAAUUUCCAAAUCCACUUAUUAACAAAAUAAUAUAUUUUGAGCUCUAAGGAUAGCUUGCUUCAAUGGCAACAAUAUAUCGAAUUUCUAUGCACAGUUUUCCCCCAGACUAACAGCACUUGCAUUAUUAGGCCUCUCUAUUAGCAAAUGAGUUCUCAGGAAUCACGUAAUUACCACACAAUCAGAAACGAGAGUGAUAUAUGUGUACAAUAAUUCGUUAAAUAUUAACAUCGGGAACUAUUUAGUUCCCUGAUCGUCACAAUAGAAACCUUCGUAUUUACAUGUACUAAAAUUAAAAUACAGUCGCAUGUAUAAGAGCAAUAGAAUGUACAGACAGCAAUAUAUACAAAACCAAUUUCUCUUACAUAUUACAAUCCCAACAACAUUUGUGAAAUGCUCACAAGAGUGGGAAAAUAUCAUCAUUCGUAGUGUCAUCACCCAAGUCAAAAAACUUGAAGCCCAUUUGAUCAUUCGGGUUCGGGUCGAAACUUGGAUCCACAUAGCAUUUCAUCUCGUGGAACAGAUUCAAAUUGUCCACCAGCUUAUGGAAUACAUUACACCCACAACACUAUUAUACCCAAAACAAAAAAAACAAAAAAAAAAAAACCAUAAGAACAAGUAUUUUUUUAUUUUUUAUUUUUAUUUUUUAUUUUAUAGGAGAACAUAAGAACAAGUGUAUAAACACUACUAUACUAUGUGUUCUUAAUUGAUAAUGCCAAAGUUGCCUAUAGUUUCUUGAAAGCUUUCAAUACAAAAUUAAGACAAUUUCAUUUAUUUCCUUGAAUGGUUUUAGAAUAAUAUUAAAUAUUAAAAAAAAAACAUCAGAAAUACUUUGCUAUUGCCUGUGUGUACCUGGACAAAGACGGUGCCGUCAGUGUAGGCAUGUGGAUUGAUGGCACGUGUGGUGCGCUGGCCACAUACGUUGCACGUGAAGGCCACGCGCAUUCUGCGUCUGGGGGAUUUGGUGAAGAGCGACCACGGGAAAGUGGACACCCGAUCCAUACCUGAAUUAGGGUCGGAUCCCGCGGGCAUGGAUGGGCCUUCCAUACCCGACCCGGUUGUCCAUCCCCUCACGUUGGCUGCACUCAGAACCAGCCCCAUCGCUGCAUCCUGCAAAACGAACAACUCAACGAAAUCUCAAUUUGCACGCAGCUAAUUUAACCUAAAAGUUUCAAUCUCAAUUUUCACACAGCUAAUUUAACCUAAAAGUUUCAAUGUCAAUUUAGGAUAAUUGGUAAAACAGAAAUAAUAAUUGCCUGGGAAAUGAAGCGAUUUCUGUUGAUGGGGACGAGCGAGGAUUCGGAAGAAUCGGGCUUGAAAUCGGGUUCGCCGCCACUGUUACUACGAUUGGCAUCAUCUGUAAAAUAGAGAAGAAAAAUUGCGUCAGAAAUUGAUCGAUAUAAUGGAAAAGGAUCACGGAGAGAGAAAAAAGGGGAGGGAGAGCUGACUUUUGGGGGAGGUGGAGAAGCGGAGGAGCCGGCGGGAAGAAGGUUCUCUGGAUUUAUUGGGGGAGAAGAUCGGCAGCGAAACGGCGCCGGUAGUGGUGGUAAGGGCUUCCAUUUCCGAUUAAUUUUCUUUUUCCGGGGGUAAAUUCGCAGUAUUGCAUACAGGUGGUGGUUGUGGUUGUAUGUGAUUGAUUGUUGGAGAUAUUUUUUUUCCUAAAGGAAUAAUUUUCAGGCCGAAGAAAUGUGGACUUGGUCAUAUUUUUGUUGGCCCAUAUUUGUUACAAUAUUUGGGCUAGAAAUUGAAUACGGGAGAUAGUUUGGCCCAAUAGGCGCUUGGUCUAUUAUAAUUCAUCCGGCCCUAUGGUUUUUUUUUUUUUUUUUUUUUUUUUUUUUUUUUUUUUUCAAUUAACCGGUACUACAAAAGAAGAAGGGGUGGAAAUUGAAACGGAAUUUUGAAUUCCGUCGAUUCUGACAAGUAUUUUCGUUUUUAGAGAUUUAUAGAUGAGUAAAGCAGGACACUCUGAAAAGAAGAAAGCAGUUUAGGUACAAUCAUCGUCAUCGUCAAUGGGAGUGUCGCCCAAAGCAAACAUGAAGAAUUAAUUUGGUGGUACUCAGAUUAUGAAACUGCGAAUGGCUCAUUAAAUCAGUUAUAGUUUGUUUGAUGGUACCUGCUACUCGGAUAACCGUAGUAAUUCUAGAGCUAAUACGUGCAACAAACCCCGACUUCUGGAAGGGAUGCAUUUAUUAGAUAAAAGGUCGACACGGGCUCUGCCCGUCGUUGCAAUGAUUCAUGAUAACUCGACGGAUCGCACGGCCCUCGUGCCGGCGACGCAUCAUUCGAAUUUCUGCCCUAUCAACUUUCGAUGGUAGGAUAGUGGCCUACUAUGGUGGUGACGGGUGACGGAGAAUUAGGGUUCGAUUCCGGAGAGGGAGCCUGAGAAACGGCUGGAGAGAAGAUCGGGAAUUAGGGAAAUAACCGAUCACAUCAAACGAUGAGAAUCAAUGGACAUUAUCAAAGGUCAAGAUCAUUCUAAGGGUUUGACCGAACCGGUGAGCUUAAGUAGUAUUGGGCUUCGAUCUUGGGUCACCUUAGGUGAAAAUGGUUAAAUGGACCGGAUAUGACUUAAUUCAUUGGGCCAAAAAAUCAAACAAAUAUUAAGAUUAAAAAAAGGGGAAUAUAUUUUGUCUCUAAGGGAGUAUUAAUUGCCAUUAAUACCCCUGGCUCUUUUCCUUUCUCUCGUGUGUUUGGUAGCACGUCAGGGAUUAUAAAUGCACCCAUAGCAUAACACACCACUCUUCUUCCUUCUUAAACGAUUCAUCUCAUUCACCAUUUCUUAUUUGUUAUUCAAAAAUAUUCAAGGGCAAAAAAAAAAAAAAAAAACACAAAAAAGAGAUUAUUAUUGCGCUUUCGGCGUUGGCUGAAAUAGUCGUUAUGGUGUUGGCUCGGCUCACUCAGAGAUUAAAAUCUUUAUAUACUCUACUGCCACGAAAAAAAAAGGCUAAUGGUUAUAUUGUUUUUUUCUGAUUGAGCCGCGCCAAUAUCUUAAUGCCUUCUUCAUUUAUGAUUGUUGUAUUGUGUAUUUCCUAUUACGAAUGCCAAUAAUUCAAUUAUCUCUCGCUCGAGGUUAGAUGUUACACUCUGUUUAUUUUUUUUAUUUUUAUUUUUUUUGUUGACGAAGGAAUUUGCAGUAACAAGUGAGCAAUGAGCAUCGGCUAAUUAACUCCGAAAAUCACACGAAUUGUAAACCACAUUGAACAAAUUAAACCACGUACGAUGAGUUGUUGCAGUAGUCCGUUAUUAUAAACAAAUAUAUAAUUAAUUUCCUAAUUCAAUUCGAUCAGGUGCAGCUCUAAGGGUUUGUAAUUGCAGCUCUAAGGGUUACGAACUCAGUUUCGUUUUCGACUCGAUCGAGUUUUUGCAGGUACUAGGUCAAUGGUAAUUAAUUGCAAUACUAUAUCAUCCAUUUUUAGUGUUAAUUGUAAUUUGUACAGAUUAUUGAACGUUUGUCUUCGUUUUAAAACUAACAUAAUUAAUUCCCUCUUAAAAAUUAUUUCAUCUUUUAUUUUACGAAUAUUUUGUGUUUUAUGAUAAAAGGCAGUGCACAUAAUUUACGAAUACUUUCCAGAAUUUUAUUUUUCCGGAACUUGAACACAAAACAUAUACCGCUAAAGUACAUGAUAGUUCAAAAUUAAAUCCACAACUACGGGAUUAACCGAUUAACUCGAUCGUCUCUCUUUAAUUUUAAUUAGUCAUAGAGCAAAACUUGCAAAGCGAAAACGAUUCCCCUCGGGCUAGGCUGAUAAGACUUGUCCUUGUAUAAAUUUAAAAUCAUUUAAUUUUCUAAUUUGUGGGUGGUGAACAUUUAUUACAGUUACUGAACUAUUUGAUUCCCCAUUUCACCUUUGGAGGAUCUGCUACUUUGUGGAUAGAGAGUAUGGCUGUAAAUUCUUACUCUCAAAAAAGAAAAAAGAAAAGAAAAAAAAGAAGAGUUAGUUGAGGGGAGUAAAUGUGAGAAGUGGGAUUGUUGGGCAGAGUCAUAAAUAUGAAGAGCAAGUUACACUGCAAAUAAUUCAAUUAUGGAGGAAAGAAAAAAAAGAGAAUCUCUGCAACAAAUUGUUUGCCAACACAAGGAGGGAGGGAUGCAUGCCUGCCUGCUUUUAUGUUUUGCUAUCGGACAAAGAUUCCCUUAUUUAUUACUCCUUCUUUAUAUUAAUUAAUUAAAAAAUAAAUAAAUUCUGUAUAGGUAAUGUAUUUGCAAAAUAAAUUUUUAAUUUUCUAUUUAUUUUCGUAAAAUAUAGAAAAUAUACUUAAAUUUGGAUUUAUAGACGAGUAGUAAAGGCCAAAGGGACAAAUAUGUAAUAUACAACUUUAAGCCCCAAAAAUAGUAUAAAUAAAUGAAUGAAGUCUUUUUAUUUGAAGAAUUAAAACACUUUGAAUUAUUGCAUCCGAUUUAAAAUCAAAUGAAGAUCUUUCUUUGCAUAAUCACUAAUUAUAGUGGAAAUUAAAAGGGGGAAAAAUAGAGUUCGAAUCUAUGUAGCGUGGACACAGAAACGACGACACGGAGAAAACACGGAUGAGUCUCCAACACAAUUGAAUAAGGUUCCCGGCCCAAAUUACCGCAAACCAAUUUUUUGGGCUUUGUCAGAUGGGCUCAACAGAUAGUAGGGUUUUUGGGCUGGGCCGAAGGGAGUACACCCAAGUAAUAGUUUUUCUGUCAAAUUUAUUUGUCCACGUGUCUCUCUCCUAUUGCUCCUUCUUUAUUCACUCCCUCCUUUCCAAAGUCGCGUCAUAGAUACAUGCGUUUAUAAGUAGACUGCAACGCCUUCUUCAAAACGACGUGGGUUUGGCAAUGGUAGUUUCUACUGUUACAUAAUCUUACUAUAUUUAGAUAAAAGUAAAAACAAAAUAAGAUUGAGAAUUUUAGAGAGAUCGAAUAAUGUGAAAAUAAGGGUAAAGUUUAGUCAAUGAAUAUUAUAAUUGAGAAUUUCUAGGUCAAUAAUAUUUCGUAUUUCUCCUUGUAUAAUUGAUUAUAGGCCAGUGUAGGAAUUUUAAACUAAUAUUUAUUUAUGUUUUAAAAUCUCUUAUCCAUGUGAUCUCUAUAAUGGAGAUUUUAUUUAUUUAUAUUUUAAUUGAUACUAAAUUAUAUGGUGGAGAGAUGCAAAAGCCAAAUUGGGCCAUCACACCAUCAUAACAUAACCAUGGUCAUCGGCCUCAUCAUUUAUUUCUUGAAACUCAACGUAUACACACACUGCUCUCUCUCUCUCUCUCUCUCUCUCUCUCUCACACACACACACACAUACUUGAUUCUCAAAACAUUCAAAAUACAAAACUACAUGUGCCAUCAUUGUCCAUCUUCUCCACCACUCUUUACUCACGUGACUUGGGCGAUAGGCUCUCAAUCAUUUUAAUAACAAUUAUAUAUCAGUAAAAUAUAAUGACUUUUAGUACGUUAUAGUAAAAAAGUCAGCAUGCAGUCACCACAUAUAUAUUUAAUUAUUAAAUGAUCAGUAAGCUCAUGAAUUAAUUAGUACUAUAUAUAGGCCAGGUAGUAGGAAUAAUGUAUUAGUGUUUAAUCAGAAAUGAGUAACAUUUAUUCCUACUAAGCCCUAAUUAAGUACUUUAAUUUGAAAUGAAAACCAAUUGAUGCAUGGUUAAUAAUUAAUUAAUUAAUGAUAUAUCUGUGUGUUAGUUGUGGAAAUAAAGCAAAUAAGUAAAGAGUAACGACUAGUGCAUGCAAAGGGUGUAGUAGUAGUUGGGCAAUAAAUAGAAGGAGUGCGACACAUGAGAUGAUGGUAAUCAAUACACAACACAAACAGCAAAAUUUACAGACGAAUACUACAUUUACAACUAAGUGUAAUAAAUACAACAGUACGUUGAAUAAUAAUUUAAUUUGUGAGUGUAAGAAUAAGUUUGAAUAUAUAUAUAUAUAUAUAUAUAUAUAUAUAUAUAUAUAUAUAUAUAUAUAUGGUGGGAGGGAGUUAAAUGUAAUUAAUGCUAAAACAACUUAUGAUAAUACAAAAAGGAUAAAAAGAAAAAGAAAGUAAAUAGUCGUCCUAUAAAUGGAGGGAAAAAAAAAAAAACAGUGGGAGUGCAGGGCGUGGGCUUGUGGGUGUGAUGAGUGUGACAUAUCACUUGACAGAAAGGGAGUUUUUUCUUUCAUUGGGUUCUUGGAAAAGGGAUAUUUAAUUAUCUUCUUAAUUAUUGCAUUAUAUAUUUUUCUUCCCUUUAAUUAAUUAUCUUCAUUAUUGUUGUGAAAAGAAAAUGUACAUGACAUGUUAGGGCUUUUUCAAAUUAUGAAGCUUCUAGUCUAGCCCUUGAUUCCUCCAUCACUAAAGUCAACACUUAUUUGAGUAUUUUUUUUCAAAUAGGAAAUCACACAAUUUCAUAGUCGGAAUUGAAAUAGCCUUCCUCCCGUAUACUAUUUCUCUACGUCCCCGACCAACAUAUCGCUUGGCACUCUCUCAUUGUCAAGUACACUCGAGUUUUUUCUGUCAUCAAUUAAUAAAUUAACUAUGUAAUUUAUUUUAUAGUUAAUUUAUUAUUUUUAGAUCUAAUAUAUACACUUUAAUAUUUUAAUCAACUAUAGUCGAUUAAUAAAUAAAUCAGCUACACAAACAACAUAGGCGAUUUACUUUCAGUUUAAUUCAGAAAACAUAAGAAGGGGUUAUCACUAAUUACUUUCAAAUAGUACUGAACCUAUCUCAAUGCAAUUUCCAAAACGGGGGUUUUCCCCACUAAUUAUCCCUUUUAUAAACAUUUCUUGUUUCAUAUUACCCUGUCACGUUAUUAAUAUUGCAUUAAUUAUUUUUCAUAAUAUAUAUUAAUUUUGAUAAUAAUUAUAACCAACUCUUAAACAACGUUUAAUUUUAAAAUGUGAUGGAUACAUCAUUGAUCUCUUUACACUUGGUUCAAAUGUUUUUUUUUUCGGUGAGCAUCGAAAAAAAGAAAAUUUAGGACACAAAAGCCUGAAAUCCCAAAAAAAUGAACAUGGUGAAAUUAUUAAUUUUAGAAAACAAAAAGUAAGGUGGUUUUGAUUGAUAGUAGAAAGUAGAAAGGGAUUAGAAAAGAAGAAGAGAAAGUUAAGUAGUGGCAACAGAAAUCGAUAAUUCUGUAAACUUAGGUCAAAAAUAAAUAAAUAAAUAAGCAACAAGUUUCCUCUUUCGUAGGUCAUCAGCCCAAAACCUAAAGACCUUUUUAAGUCUUUAAUCCCUUUUUAGAGAGAGAGGGAGAGAGAAAUAGAGAGAGGGGCGGUUUGUUGUGUGUUCAUCAGAAACGAGGAUAGAGAAAAAGUCGUCUGUCUAAUAGUGGUGGGGAAGGUGAAGAGAUUAUUAUGAUCAUACUCAUGAUACGAAGGUUUCAUCACAAACGAGGAUAUCCAUCGAUGUCUUUUUUUCUUUUUCUUUUUUUUUUUUUUAAUUUAAGGGGGGGUGGGGUGGGGGGCAAAGAAUAUAAUUACUAUGAGGAUUCUUUGAUUAUAUUUACCUUGAGCAAGUUUAAGUAUAAAAACAUGGCCAAGAAUGAACAUUCCAAUCUGCUUUAUUUAGCACUACCAUUCUCUCUCUCUCUCUCGUGUUGUCCAAAUCUUGAACUAAUUAAACACCACUCCUAUUAAUAAUCAUUCACAGCUUGAAAAACCUGGCCUCUUCUCCUCUUUCUCUUUCUCUUUCUCUUUCUCUCUCUUAUUUACUGUACUGCACACACAUCUCACAUAUUAAAUAGUCCCCACCCUCAUCUGCCCUUCUCUCCCAUAUUCUCUUAUUAUUACAACCUAGUUUCUCUUUCAUGUGUGUGUGUGUGUGUGUGUGUGUUGUAGUUUUUGUUGAAUCUUGUGGUAUAAGGGUCUGAGGGUCGAAGUUGCUGGUGUUUGAUGAAAUGAAUUCAUGGUGGGUUUGUCAAAGGGUUUCUUACAGAGUUUAUUGGCAUUCUGUCCACCUCCUGCUCUAUAUGGAUUUCUUUUUCUUUUAAUUUGAAGUAAAAGAUAAGAACUAGAUUAUAAAAAGAAGAAAAAAAGUGAUUUAUAUUGUCUGUUGUGGAGGAGGUGGGCAUACUGCCAACUGAGCUGUGUUGGAUUCUCUUUGCAAAACCCUCGUGAAACUUGCUUUUGCUUUCUCACCUCUUACUUAUUUGCAGCAGCUCAGAUCAAGGUAUAUGUAUAUGUACAUGUAUAUAUAUCAUAUAUGGGGAUCUUGUGCAUAUAUAUUGUUCAUUUUUAUUUCUCGAAACUCAUGUUUGAUUUCUUACAUGCACGAAUCUUAGGUUUUCUUACAUGCCAUGUUUAAUUCAGUUCCCUUAUACAGUUGUAUUUUGCUGUGUCUGAAGUUGUGGAUAUGUACUUUGGAACCCUAAUGGCUCCCACACCCCCCCCCUAAUCUUUUUGUUAAUUUAUAUCUGAAUUUGAUUAAAUCUGUUUGAAGAAAUCCUUCUUUUUCCUAAAUCUUUGUAAAUUAGUUAAAAGGUAAAAAGCCAGGAAAUAAUGAGAAAUUUGAGGCUUUCAAUCAAGAAAAGCAAGCCGCGGCAGAAUAUUUUACCAAGUAUUAUUUUCUUGUUCAUUGCCUUUUCUGGGGUUCAAGAUCUCAUUUUUCCUUGUUUCUUGAUUUGGGUUAUUUUGCAUAUGCAAUUUUUUUUUGUUAGUAAGAGAGAUAUAGAUACACAGUAAGAGAGAUGGUGGUGGUGGUAGGGCAAAAGAAUAAUAUUAUUAUGAAAGGGAAAAGAUAAACUUUUGUGGUUGCAGAGCAGAAGGGCGUUGGUAUAUACGUAGAGGCUCAUGAUUGAAACACUGACAUUUACAAUUAAUUUAUUAUUGCAAACACACUACUAUCUGUCUAUAUUCCAGCUUCACCACCCCCAUUUAAGUUUCUUGGGCUCCGUUGCUGUGAAUUUCACUGACAGUCAAAUCUUCUAAUUCAACCUCACUCCAUAUUAUUAUUACACUUCAGUUUUCCUUUUUAAUUAUUUGUUCAUUUUUUCUUUCUUUUAUAUUAUAUUUAACUUUAGAAUAUAUACAAAUGUUGUAUUACUUAUUUU
rnacentral:lncRNA from 1 species